UUUUUUGUUUUUGUGUUAGUAUUUAUAUUCUUAUUAAAUAUACGAGCAGAAUCUGUUUAAUGUAUCUCCAAUCACAUUGAAUAAGGAUAGAAAUUGUCAAUUUUUGAAAAAGAUUUUUUAAAAACUUAUUUCCAUUUUAUUUUUAUUUUUUUAUGAAUAUAUGGUUAGAAAUAUUCUAUUUAAUUUAAAAAUUAUUUUAAUUAAUUUGAUGGAUGUAUUUAAUUAGACCACUUGUGUGGAAAGGAGAAGGCCGUCUCCACCCUUUCACCCAUUAAAUUCCGUCCAGGACUCAGCUUCUAGACAGAACCAUCAAUCAAAUCCUCUUCUUUGUUGUUCAAUCUUCAUCAUCCCACUUCAAUCAUGGCUGUCAUCAAAGUCCAUGGAAACCCUAUUUCAACCGCUACACAGAGAGUUCUAGCUACCCUCUACGAGAAAGAUUUAGAAUUUGAGUUUGUUCAUAUCGAUCUUGCCACGGGAGAGCACAAGAGGGAGCCUUUCAUUUCCCUAAAUGUAAGCAAACAUGUCCUUGUUCUUCUUCUUUUUUGUAGUUUCAAUAACUUUCUUAACCUCUUGUAACAUAAAACAUCUGUCUGGAUUAUGCAGCCAUUUGGUCAAGUCCCAGCUCUAGAACACGGAGAUCUCAAGCUCUUUGGUAUUUUUUCUAAUAAUUUCUUAUUUUUCCAUUAGUAUUUCUUUUAUAUAAAUUUAAUUCUGGCUGUGGUUCAACAAGCAAAUUCAGAGCUGUGGAAAGCAUUUUAAUAGUAUUGAGCUUCUUAUGGCUAGCGUUUUUAAUUACUUUUUGAACCACUUUGAAUGAUUACGGCAUGCAGAAUCAAGGGCAAUUACCCAAUACAUUACCCAUGAGAAUCCUGACAAGGGAACCCAGCUUCUUUGCCCAGGCAAGGUCAAGAUGCCAAUAUUAACAGUUUGGAUGGAAGUGGAGGCUCAAAAAUUUGAACCAGCAGCCUCAAAGCUCAACUGGGAAGUGUUUUUGAAGCCAAUUUUUGGUUUGACAACGGAUUCAGCUGCAGUAGAGGCGAAUGAAGCUGAGCUUUCUAAGGUUCUUGAUGUUUAUGAGGCAAGACUAGCUCAAUCUAAGUACUUGGCUUGUGAUUGCUUCACUUUGGUAGAUCUACACCACUUGCCUAACUUACAGCUGCUGUUAUUGACACAAAGCAAGAAAUUGAUCGAGUCAAGACCUCAUGUUAGCGCAUGGGCUGCUGAUAUUACAGCAAGACCAGCUUGGGCUAAGGUUCUUGCUAUGCAGAAGAAGUGAGAGGAGCUGGGGUUGCAUGGCUAUGGUCAUUUCUCUUCCAAUAAUUAAAGCUGUGUUCUAUUUCCCUUUUUUGGUGUCUUCUGCUGUGUGUGUGAUAUCAAUCUUCACGCGGAGAUUGAUUAUGUCGGUCUUACAUUUUAAAUAAAGUUUCUAGAAUUUUAUUAGUUUUUCUUUCCUUUUUUUUUUUUUUUUUUUUGUCUUCAAAUAUAUAUAUAAUAUUGAGAGGAUUAGGUUGACCAUGAACCAUACUCACAAUAAGUUUAGAACCUAUUUAGGUGAAGGUACUUAAUACAGGAUUGUGUCAUUAUAGAUUCUCAUGUGAGCUCUGGAAACUUCCCCCAGGUGAUGAAGAUAAAAAUUGGUAAACAUUUAAAUAAAAAAAAAAUUGCAAGUUAUCGAAUUUCUGGCGUAUGCCAUUUGCAUUUUCAUUUCUUACAAAAAAGGUAUAUUUUGACCAAAAUUAUUGUCUACUUGUUCCCAGUUCGAACAACCCCCGUCCUACGCCCAAGAAGGGGCGAAGAAGAAGAACUCUACCACAAUAAUUCUUAGCUUUGGUGGUUCAAAUUUAAUUAUGAUCACACUUGAUAUGCAUAUAUGGUCCUAUCAAACAACACAAAUAUCCCCACUCAACAUAAGGGAUAACUCGUUUAGUGCAUUCAAACACAAUGAAACAUGUUGUACUAACAAAUCAUAAUUGUAUCCUUCAGAUUGGAUUCCACAGAACUAGAGCCCGAGUCCUUCUUAAGUCCCUUCUCCUUCAUUAGCUCUCUUAUUUCUGCAGCAUCAGACCAUCUUCCCAUCUCUGAAUACAAAUUAGACAGAACUACAUAAUGAGCACUAUUACCUGGUUCCAAUUCGACAAGUUUCCUAGCAGCAAAUUCACUUAAUUCUAAAUUUCUAUGGACUCUACAGCCAGUCAACAAUGAUCCCCACAUAGACUUUGUAGGCUCGAAAGGAAUUUCUUUGAUGAUUUUGAAAGCAUAAUCAAGAUGCCCAGCACGAGCAAAGAGAUCAACCAUACAAGCAUAGUGCUUAGCAUUUGGUGAAAAUCCAUACUUCCCAACGACCAAUGAACUAAAUAUAUGUUGGCCCGUAUCAACCAAACCUGAGUGACUACAAGCACUAAGAACAUUCACCAAAGUGACUUCAUCUAGGUUUACACCUUCUUGCUCCAUCCUUUUGAAAAACAGAACAGCCUCCUUUCCACAUUUUGCAAAUGCUAGUCCAUUAAUAACUGAAUUCCAUGUGAAAAUGUUCUUCUCUUUCAUGCUUUUGAACACAUUUAAACCCUCAUGGAUUCUGCCACAUUUCACAUACAUAUCAAUCAACGAGGUCCCUAGAAUCACAUCUAAUUCCCAUCCAUUUUUCCUUAUAAAAUCAUGUAUCCAAACACCCAUUUCAAUGGCUCCAAGACUUGCACAUGCCCCUAACACAUUCACUAUCGUAACACGAUUAGGCACUACACCUUCAUAUUGCAUUUGCUCAAAAGCAAUCAACGCGUCAGCAUAGUUCAGAGCAUCCCUGUAUCCCAUGAUUAAAACAGUCCACGAAACAACAUCUCUUUCAGGCAUUUCAUCAAACAGUUUCCGACAAAGAGCCACUCGACCGCAUGACGCAUAAACAUUUAACAAAGAGUUCUGAACAUAAAUAUCAUUUAACUGACCUAACUUUAUAACAUGGGUAUGUACGCAUUGGCCUUGGUUGAAAUCCUUAAAGUCAGACAAGGACUUGAGAAGGAAAGGAAAGGUGUAAUUAUUAGGAGGAAUAGAAUUGUUGUUCAUGUAAAUAUAUAUCGACGAAGGAAUAUCAGGACAUUGAGAGUGAGAGAAGGCUUUUAUAAGAGUGUUGCAAGUGAAAACAUGGGGUUUAGUGUGGUGGGUGAAGAAGAGAGGGAGAGAAGAGUGCAAGAGGGAUAAAUUAUGGUAUUGGCAGGCAGUGAUGAAAUCGAGGGCAAUGGUGGUGUUGAAAUGGAGCUUAUGGAGGAUGAUCUGAGCUUGUAUUUGGUGGAUGUGAGACUGAGAAAUGCAAUUGUUCAAAAGAUGAAUGAUUCUGUUUGCUAUGGCGUUGAACUGAGAAUAAGGUAUCAUCGCUGUUUUUUCAAAUUUCAAAAACAACUAAAGCGUACGCUAUAGCCACGGACUGACGGACGUAAAUUUUUUGCUGGCCGCCGCCAUUAGCAAGUUUGCAAAAAUAUUCGACAACAGCAUUGCGCAUCCAGGGAAUCGAACCCUGGUCAGUACCGUGGGAGGGUACUAUGAUACCACUACACCAGAUGCGCAAUCGAUGCAUUCGGUUUAGAAAUGUAUUUAUUUAAUAUAAAAGAUGGCGAUGACGGCCCUGCAAUAGGCUUCUCGCCCCCCAGUCGUCGCGAUAGGUCGUUCGGUUUAUAGUCGAGUUUCACUUACGUCCUUCGUGUUUGUAACCUGUACAUUCGUAACAGACCAAGGAGAAAAAUCCCCAAAAUAGAGGGGAAAAAAAAGGUAGUAAGUAGUGAAAAGUUAGAUUGAGAAUGAGGAUAGUGGGUUUGACGGGCGGAAUAGCGUCCGGAAAGAGUACUGUCUCCAAUCUUUUCAAAUCCCAUGGGAUUCCCGUUGUUGAUGCCGAUCGCGUCGCUCGUGUAGGCUCUUUUUCUGCUCUGUUCAUUUUCAUUUUCUUAAUCAACUUCUUCUACUGUCCAUUUGAGCGAAUUCAAUUGAAUGUUUUUUUUGUUUUAUUUUUUGAAUUUUUGCAUAUUCUAAGAUGAGACCAAGGUUUUUGUUUGUUAAUAUUGAAGUUUUUAAUGCUGAAUCAUUAGCACUAAAUUCUGAAUUUUUGUACCUUCGAAAAUUAGAAUUUGCCUUUCGAUUAAAAUUAAUAAAAUUUUCCGAUUGGUGCAUUUUUUUUUUCUCCGUAAGUUUUCAUUGCUUGACAUCUGUUAUUCUGGAAUUUUCCUUAUACCUUUUCUCGUUGCAGGACGUUCUGAAGAAAGAUACCGGUGGCUAUAAGAAGGUAGCCGCAGCAUUUGGAGAUGAUAUCUUGCAAGUUAAUGGGGAAGUUGAUCGAGCAAAACUGGGCCAGAUUGUAUUCUCCGAUCCUGCAAAGCGCCAACUUCUUAAUCGGUAGAGAUCGCUUUGCAUUGAGUGUUCCAUUAUCAACUGAAAAAUUGUAUGCUUUAAUACUUUUAAUACUUAUCAGUGUAUGAAGUAAAUAUUGAAUGAAUGAGUAAUAGAUAGAUAUAUUAUAACUGAAAAAGUUUUGGUUCCCAUCAUGUAACACAGAGGUUAUUAAAACUUUUCCAUAUGAUUUCAUCUGGUUUAUUCAGAAUUGAGAAUCAUGCUUGUGAAUGCUGUUUUAUAAAAUCACCAUUUUGAUGUGAAUCUAUCUGCCUGGUUCUGCAGAACGACAUGAGCUGUGUAGUUUUUGAUGUUCCAUUGACAUUUGGUUAAUUUGGUGCUUGCUGGCUUAGGAUAAAUGGUUUAAUUUCAUUUGUUGAAGCAUUUCAACAAAAGAAAUCAACUUGAUAGUUCAAUUUAGCAAUCAUGAAUUCAUGUUCACCAAGCAUAUCAUCUACAUCUACAUAACCUUGAAGCAAUUUCUUUUGAAUGUAAUGUCCUAUGCUUGAAGUUCUAAUACCUGAGUUUCUAAUUGCGUCAGGUAUAUAUUCUCAUUAUCUGGAAUACCAUGCUGAUAAAGCAGUAUUGGCUUUGCCUAAAUAAGCCAAGGUAUUCUUGGUAAUUCGUCAUAGUGUAGUUGUGUAUAACAAAUGUUAUGGAAUUGCUAGUUACGCUACUUCUUUGGACAUUAUGUCCUUGCAGAUUAUUGGCGCCCUAUAUAUCUUCUGGCAUCUUUUGCAAGAUUUUGAAACUGUGGUUAAGGGGGUGUAAGGUAAUUGUCCUUGACAUCCCUUUGUUGUUUGAGGCCAAGAUGGAUAAAUGGACAAAACCCAUUAUUGUUGUAUGGGUUGAUACAGAAAUACAGCUUCGACGGCUCAUGGCAAGAGACGGAUCCAGUGAAGAGGAUGCCAGAAAUAGGAUCAAUGCUCAGAUGGCUUUGGAUUUAAAACGAACUAAAGCAGACAUUGUUAUUGAUAACACUGGCUCAUUAGAGGAGUUGGAAAGGCAGUUUCAGAAGGUAUUAUUCCAGGUUACUAGGCCCUUGACAUGGACUGAAUUCUGGCUUUCAAGACAGGGAGCCUUCAUGGCUCUGAUUUCCAUUAUAAUUGGGGUUGUUCUUGGUAAAAAGGUUUAUGGACAUCAUAAUCAAGAAUCUCAAAACUAGAUAGCUUCAUAAUUUCAAGCAUCUUGUUAAUCAAAAAGAAAUUUUCAGUGUAUUUGAACUCAAGCUAUUUGUAUCUCAAGCCAAUACCUGUAACAUUCAAUUUUUCUUGGAAUGUGAUAUUUGAUCAUUGAAUGCAUUUGUAUUUGUUUAAACAACUUCUUAAGAUGUUCUUUUUAUUAGAGAAUCAAAGGAAAAUGUAUUUUUAAAUUCAAAUUUGCUAAUCAAAUGAUAGAUACGGAAUGCAAGUUCCUGAGUAUGAAAGACAUUUAGUUUCAUACUUAUUCAUAAUGAUUUAUUAAAGUUAGAAUCAAUUUCUUCUGUGAUGUUAAGCGGUUAUUUUGGAGGUCAAGAAUUAUUUUCUAAGCGAACUCUGGACUCAUCAAACUAAUCCUGCAAGAUACUGUGAAAUCUUGUUGAAGAUAUGCAACUCAAAUGUCUCUUGGUGUAUGGAAUUGCCGAUGAAGCUCAAUCUUCUAGAGCUGAUUGGUUGGUUGGGAUUCAUUGAAAGAAAUUCUAUCUUAGCCUUUUACUUCUGACUGUUCCAGGUCUUCUAUUGCUAUGAUCUUAUGUAACCUAUUCCAGAAUUCAGUUUUCCCUUAUUUACCAUUAUUACUUCAGUAUAAUGUACUUUAACUUUGAACAUCUAGUACGUACAUCUAGUACUUUCUGUUGACUAUACUCUCAUAUAAUUGCCAUUGCUGUCAAUUUCCAUUAAAUUGAAAUUACUGUUCUUUAUGUUGUUGAAAAUUACAGCCAUAUCUCCAGCUGCUGUUUCAAUUGGUCAAGCUGAAUUUGAAUCGCUUUUGGUGUGUGAUGUCGCCUUUUCCCUUGGAUGUUGAAAGAUCAAGGUGUUGUCGAGUCCGAAGUGAGCCUAAUCCAUUUUCAACGAGGUUGUCCACUGCAUUAAGAUUCUUAUAGACAUCAGAUGUUAUUAAUUUAUUAUUCAGGUUUGAAUACUCAUCUUUUUAAUGGCACAGCAUUUUCAUAUUGACUAUUAGACAAAGAAAAUAAAGCAGGAGUAUUCAGUGCCAAGUGUUGUCACAAAUCACACUAGCUGUAACUUGAAGACCAUUGGCUUAUAAAAAGUGGGAGACAAGUAGGAUCGACUUUAUUAACCAUUUACAUGCUGCUUUAAAAAUUUUAAUCACACUUUUUGCCCUGUAAUUUACAAUUAUAUCUUGAAUGCUAAAUAUAAUGGAAACAAUAGUGGUAACUGACAAUUUCUUCUGCAAAGUUGGCAAGUAUGUGAUGGCUAUAGUUUUAUAUUGUACAUAAUGAAUGCUUAUCAAUUCAUAAUUCUUUAAUCUAUUUAAUGUUAGUAAGUGUUUAUUCUCUCUUUUUUUCUCCCCUUUUCUCGUCUUUCUUAAUUUUGUGCUCAGAUGCUGAAAGUUGUUUAAAGAACAAGGUUACAGCGUCCGCCUUCUUAAAAAUUUCUUCUCAGGUUCGUUUUGUGACCAUGCAUUUCAGUCUUCACUUCCCAGGUCGUUUUUGUGAUAGUGAUCAUUCAUUGCUGAAAUUUUGGUUACUUCUACUCUAAAACUCAUAUGUUGCAAUCUUAAAAAAAAUUGCUAGUUGUUGAUGCUGAUGUAUCUACAGUUCAAAAUAAGAAAAGAACACUGUAGAAAUGUACUACUACUGAGUUAGAGGUCAUGCAAAAAUUAUUAUUACUUUUGUGCUCUGAGACAGCAUAAUGUUCAUGAUUGAGAAAAAUAAUGUUUUAUAAUUUAAGAAAUGUUUUUUUUGAAGUCCUUACCUAACUUUGCAGAAAAAAAUCUGGACCCGGUCAUUCAAGGAACAAUAUGUACUAACUACUAAGGGAAUUUGAAUCGAAAUGACAAAAUAUUAGUUGUCCUGCAGUCCCCAGUGAGUCUGGUUAUGGUAUUGUUGGCAUCAGAACUGGCUCGAGCUGAAUAACCAGAUUAUAUUUAGGGAAAACAUUGGGUUUUUGGUUCCACAUUAGCAACAUGUUGCAUCAAGUAUAGAAUCUGUCAGAAGUACUAGCAAGUAACACUAUUUUCAUGCUUUGUUAAACUUGAAAUAGGAAUUUGGUUAUUGAGAAAUUGAAUUUUGAGUGGUCAAGUGAUUUUAUUUUCUUUUUAUCUCGGACCUGACCUCAAUUACAAGUUAAACACACAGUCACUAAGCUACUAACUGAAUAGCAGUUGAGUUAGUUUUAAAAUUAACCUCAUGAUUAGACUUCCAUUUGAAUAAUAUUGUUUCAAGCUUUUUGACAGUCCUUCUCCUUCCCUCAUAGCCUUCACAUUGUUUUCCUGUAAUACUGGCAACCCACAAUCUUUUUGCCAAAUACAAAGAGAACCCAAUGAUGGUGUAUCAAUAAUUGAUGAAGCUUUUCUUUAAUUUGGAGUUAAAAUGAGACUCUUGUGCAUUUGUGGUGUCCUGUCCUCUAAAUGUCUGUCAAAUCUAUAUAUAUAGCUUUUAUCUUUCACGUACUGAUUUUUUCUUUUUUUCUUUUUUCUUUUUUUUUUUUUUUUUUUUGUUUUUUUCUAAUCAUUGUAUGUGCCUUUGAGCAGUCUUCUAUCACUGAAAAUUUUUUUUUCCAAGUUUUUGUUCCCCAACCAGGCAACCAACUAUCCAACGAGAGACUUGUAUUGGUAAGCUAAUUAGAGUGAGUUGAAAAGCCAGGAAAAGACCUUUUGCUAUUAUGCUAGUUAGCGUCGUGGAGGUUAGCAAGGUAGCAAGAACAGGGCCUUCCAGUUUCUGGUUUACUUAAAUUAAGAAUUUUCAUGAAGAAGACUAGGGGGCUAGCGAACCAAUCAUUUGGGCUGAUGACUUGGAAGUAACUGCUGGUGUGAGAGAAAUUGUAAAACAAGAGAGAGAGAUGCUUCUAUUACACGUCUAACGUUGUAACUCUUUUACCUUGGACUGAAGAUACCUAUCCGGUUAGUAUCAAUAUAUAAAGAAUUAUCUACACCAUAUAUAUGAGACCAUGCAUAUACGCUGCACUAAAUCAAUUAAAAAUAUUUUUUUCUAAAAAAUAAUUAUUAUUGUCUAUUUUUUUCUCAGUCCUGUAUGCACUCAUUUGAGUACAAAUCUGUUUUUAAUUAGUUUGAGGUGUGUAUAUAUCUAUCAAGUCUUUAAUCUCAACUAUGCCAAAUUCUUUAAAACUGGAACUUUUUUUUGUUAAAAAAAAAAAUUAAAAGGAUUAAUUUGAAUAGCUUUCUUUUACUUACUUUUAAAGGAUUAAUUUUCUAAUAAUUUAAAUAAAAAAAUUCAAAGGGUAGAUAUGUCCAACAUUUAUAGUAGCAUCUAAUAGUAGGCAGUCCUUUUCUUAAAGAUCAUAAAAAUUCUUUUUUAUUUUUUCACCCUUUUUUAUCAUAAAUUAUCACUCAAUUAAUGUAAUAAAUAUUUGUAGUGGAGAUCUAAAAAUGAAGUGAUAUAUCCAUAGUGCUUUUGAUGGUCUUAUCCCUCAGAAUGGUGCUGGGAGUAAGUCUGUGACAAAACCAAUUAACAAUUUCCACCAUACAUGCUCCUGCUGCUUUCGCAUUGUACAAAAGGAGCAAAGUAAUUAAAGGCCAAAAGGCAGUCCAAAGCGAAUUGCCCUUCCACAUGAGGAGAGGAUAGACUAGGUACUAGACAGUGGCCCUGGGUAUUCACGUGACUCUAUCACGUGACUAAUUAUCUAAAUUCUGAUAGCGCAAUCAUAGAUUGAUUCAAUAGCUAAUGAAGCUUCCUUCUAUUAAUAUUUUUGGGGUGACUAGCUUCCACACACGCACACACACGAUAUAUCUCUUUUAUUCUCUCUUUUUUAUUUUUCUGUUUGAGAGCUCUUUUUACUUCCAUCUUACUCUAUUCCCUCUUCUUUACUCCCAAUUCAUAAACAUCGAACCUCCCCUUUCCUCUCAGCUCUCUCUCUCAUCAAGAUGACACCAAAACCAGCUGACGGGCCAAUGGAGCAGCUGAAAUACCAGGUGAAUAUAUACAUAUGUGGUCUUUUUCUAUGUCUAUUCAUUUUCUUUUCUCAACUGUUAUUUAAUUUCCAAUCCAUUAACUUCUCCACUUUUUCACAGACAUGGGUCUUGAAGGUCUCAAUCCACUGUGAAGGCUGCAAGAAGAAAGUCAAGAAAGUUCUUCAUGGAAUCGAUGGUAUUAUUAUUUUUGUUUAUGUAAACCAUUAACCAUAGUUGAUCUUUCCUUUAUGUUUCUUAUUCUGAAUCUCCACUUUAUUUAAUAUGUAUAUUCCCUGUCAUUCCUUGAGCAUGCAGGUGUUUAUAUGACAGAUGUCGACUCUCGGCAGCAUAAAGUUACAGUAACUGGGAAUGUAGACGCGGAGACUCUUAUCAAGAAACUGGCAAGAUCAGGAAAACAUGCAGAACUUUGGCCUGAAAAGCCAGAGAAGAAAGAUAACGAGUCAGGAAAAUCCAAGACCGAUGGAAAACAGAAAGAUCAUCAGGAAGUUGGCGGCGGUGGUGAUGAUGGAAACAAUGAUAAUAAUAAUCCACCAGAAAAGCCUGAGACUGUCACUAAAAGUGGCGGUGAUCAACUUUCACGGGAUAGAGAGAGCGAAGAGGCUGGUGGAGAAACCCCUGCUGCUGCUGCUGAUGGUGGUGGUGGAGGUGGAAAUGGAAGUAGUGGAGGUAAAAAGAAAAAAAAGAAUAAGAAGAAAGCGCAAAAUGGUAAUUCUAACAAUGUUGACGGAAAUAGUGGUGAUAAUCCCGGUGGCGCACCACCAUCGGAUGCAGGAUCUUCUUCAUCUGCCAGUUCAGAGCCAAUGCCUCCAAAACCAAUAGAGCACAGCCCUCCGAUACAUCAAUAUGUAUAUCCAUAUCCACCAACAUAUUAUGCACCUCCUCCGGCAUACGGAGUAAACUACAACACAACCUACUCGGGUGCUAGUGAAUCUUACUAUGCACCUUCCGUACAUGGUCAUGUGUUUUUUUCUCAGCCUGAGUGGUACCAGCCACCAACUCCACCAUCUGAACCGAUGAACAAGAUGGAUCAUCGAGAUGAUUAUGAUGGUGGAUGCUCAAUUAUGUGAUUGAUGAGGGUGUAUGUAACAAUCUGUGUACUAGCUUUAUAAUAAUUACUUUUGUAAUUAGAAGUUUAGUGGAAAGCUGCGGGAGAAAUUUGCACAAAAAAAAAAAAAAGAAAAAAAAAGUGGGGUGUUAUGACUUAUAUAAGGGGAUUUUGGAGGCGUACGUCCUUAGUUUAAUAGAAUGUUUGGUUAUUUUUAAAUUUAUUCUCCUGGAAAUCUUCCUUUUCCUCUCUUUAACGUGUGACUGUGAAGGAUAUUUUUGUUCAUCUCACUGCCAUGGAAAAUGGCACAAGUAUAUGAAGGUGACUUGACGCGGCGAAUAGUGCGGUAAAGGAUUAACACACAAUUAAAAUUUCUUAAAAAUAAACAAAAUCUAACCUAAAAUUUUCAAUUCAGAAUUUUAGGAAAAUAAACCAAUCACAGGCUUUUUGGAAAAAAUUACGAAUAAAAAAAUUUAUAUAAAAUAUAAAGAAUAUAAAGAUUUAUAUCGAUCUAUGGAUCCUAACCUAAUAAAUAGGAAUGAAUUUAAACUUGUAACAUAAAAAUUGGUGGAACUUCUGAACCAUUUUACCUUUGGGGAAAUGCUUAAAGUUAUCCUUUAUGAACUUUCUCAAAAAAAAAAAAAAAAGGAAGUUUCUUUUAAGAAAGCAAUCUUUUCCUCUCAUCUCUGUAUGUAUCUUUUGCUUUCAAUGCUAGCCAAAGGGAAGAGAUACGAUCAAAUGGACUCAAACUUUUCGUAGAAAAGCUUGUUUCUGUUAGUAAUUUUUAAGUUCAUGGAAAAGCUUUUUUUUUUUUUUUUUUUUUAAAAAAAAGCAUUAUCUUUUGCUAAUUAAUGCAUGUAAAUCUUAGUUAUUGUAAUAAUUAAGCAGAGGUUUAAACUUUAAAAACAGCUUUUUUCUUUUAUGACAAAUCUAUAGGACAUGCUUCAACAAUAAUGAUAAAAUCCUAUCCACAGCAGAAUAUUCACAGUGGAUUAUACUUGUUCCAUGUCCUGGAAAAAGAAAAGGGAAUGUAAAUUAUAUGUAUUAUUUUUUAGCAUUAUAUUAUUCUUUCUAGAAAGCUCUUUCAUUUUGAUUCCAAGACUAGGGCUAGCCAGUCAAUCACCGAGUAUGGAAAUACCUGAUAAAUCUUUUCCAUCAACUUUCUGUUGCAAAUAUAUAGAAUGAAUCAUAAUUGAUUUCUGGGCCCCAACAUGAAUUCAAUUGUAUAGAUUCUAGAAAACACUCCAACUCCUUUUUUUUUCUUUUUUUUUUUUUUAAUAAAAAAAUAAAAUAACAACAUCUAUAAAUUAAUCCCCAUGCAGGUGUUUUUUUUUAGGGUUCAAUCAAAUAUUAGUAAUUGCUACAAAUUAAACACAUUAAGAUUAGAAAUGAAAUGAAAUGGAAUAAUAUGUAUAUAGCAAGUUAAAUGGAAGGGACAGAACGAAGAUAUUGUAAGAUAUUUGAUGUGAAAGUAAUGAAAUGAACAGAGACGAUAAAUGCUGGGUUGUUCAUUUUCAACUUAUGUAUAUAUAAAGAGAAUCUUACACAGUCCAAAAGCAAAUUCAAUUCUCCUCUUUUCUUUCUUUUCCUGAUUUUAUCUGUAAUUUUUAUUAUUUACUUCAUGUAAUGCAAUGGUAAUUCAGAAAUUUGAUUAAUUAAUAGUUUAAUAAUUAACUAUUUCCUUGUGUAAAAUUAGAAUUUAAAAUUUGAAAAUUUCAUUAUUUAUUUUUUAUAUUUCAUAAUAAGAAUAGGCGUAUUUUCCUACUUCUAAUUAUAUAUCCUUUUAUUUUGUAAAUAAUAUUCUCCUAUUCAAUUUAAUUUAUUACCAACAUUUUUUUCCAUAUUUACUGUUUAAAUUAUAUUAAUUAAUUUUUCUUUAAUAAGUAGAAAACAAAAGUAAAUUUAUUUUUAUAAAACGAGGAAAAUGCUAAAAAAAUCAUGAAUAGUGAUAACAUAGGUGGUGGGGACAUAAAAAACACGACAAUAAUGAUGGCUGAACUACAUCACCAACAACAUUCAUAGCCAAAGUGAUUUGAUAGAUUUGAUAUUAAUUGAUUAAAAAAAAUAAGUCUGUGUUCCUAUGAAGGAUGGCUCACUCACUCACGUCGAUGUGACUUAUUGGAUCGGACCACAAUUCCAGCCCACAAUCCGUGAUUCUGAAUUCGUAAGAGUUCAUAUUGGCAUUGGGCCAAGAAGAUUCUUAACUAUAAAUGGGCUUAGCCCAUUAACCUGCAGUAGAGGAGAAGGUAAAGGUAACAUAGGUGCAACUCUUCCAUAUUGGCUGUACAUCCCUUUUGUCACAUCGCAUGUGGCUUACAUCACGGCAUCAGCAAUUGGUUGUCACAGAACAAAAGCACAGAAAAUGGUGAAUAAUGUCGUAACAUUUUUUGAUAUCCAAGUGUCAACAUAAAUAAAAAAAAUUCUGAUUCGAAAGUGCCAUUUAACUAACAAAAUUCCAAGUAUAUAUUUGAAAAGAAGAAAGCAUGUUGCAUUUAUUAUAUUCGAAUAUUUCAUUUCUCAAUUUUUUUUAUCAUAAUAUUCGAAUAUUUUCAUUAAUUGAUUUUUUAUUAUCUAAUAAUUCAUAAUUCUAAUGUCAAUAUUCAUAUUUAAAACAUGAAUAAACAUCCUACAUUUUUACUUAUUAAGAAAUAUUUUAACUUUUAUAUGGAUAAACCAAUUAGCUAUGUCUGAUCAGUCUACUCAUUUAUAUAAAUAGUCAAAGAUCUCAAGUUUGAGUAUACGAUAUUCUUGUUGAGCCUCCUAAUCAAAAAAUUAUAUUGAUAAAUUAGAAUUCUUUGAAAAAAAAAACAAACAGCACAUGUAUAAGCUAUCAACCGGAUAUUGAAUAUAAAAAAAUUGACUAUUUUCUUAGAAAAAUUUUAUUUAGAAGCACAAAUAUAAAUUAUUAUUUCAAGCAAACUUUAGGUAUAAUUAUAGGUGUGGAUAAAAAAAACAAAUAAAUAUAUAUUUAUGUAUUAAAUUUUCUAAAUUUAAGCAUCAUAAUUACCAAUGAAAAACAAAUAAAUAACGAAUAGGAAAUGCUUUGUAUAAAAAAAAGGAUAAACAUACAUUUAUGCCGUAUUAAAAUUUUUAAAUUUCAUCUAUGAGCUGUGGUUUAGUUGGCAACACAGAUUAAGUGUGUGAGAAAAACUUUUGGAUUCGAGCCCCGUUAAAUGCAUAUGUAGGAAGACAUAUCGGUAAUGGUGUCUAUAAAAUCUGAAUAUUAGUGGUUUAAAAAAAAAUCUAAAUUUCAAUAUCACAAUUAAAAACGGAAAACAAAUAAAUGCUGAAUAGGAAAUGCUUUUACAUUUUUCCAGGAAAGAUACCAAAAACAAAAAAAUCUUAUCUUCCAUUAUACGUUGCCAAGCAUAUCCAAUUAAAAUAUAAGGCAAUAAGGAAAAUAUAGAGCCAAGAAAACAGGUGGAAACAAUUAAUAAUGCAAAGAAAUAUAAUAAAAUAAUAAAAUAGCAAGUAGACAAUUAUUAAGCUGAUCUGUCUUCCACAACACGAAAGAAAAAGAAUCUCUAAAACCCUUAUCAGAAUAGAAUAUGAUAAGACACCAUUUACAUUAUCAGUUGAUGCUCUUUUUCUUUCUUUGUCUAUAUAAAUCUCCACCAUUUCUUCUUCAGCUCUGAUAUCUUGGCCACCAAAUUAACCAACUCCUAUUGCCAAUUAUGAAGCCUCACAGUCACAGCCUCACCCUCUCCAACGAUGCUUCUUCUCUAACCCAUGAUCAUCAGUCCAAGAGAACCUUUGGACAGAAGGUCAAGCAGGCUUACGAUGCUGCAAGAAACAGCGUCGUAAAGGGAAAUAAUACUACAACUACUAGUCUUCGGCUUCCAAAAGAAAACGAAAGACGAAACUGGAGCUAUUGUGCAGAAGAUCCCAUUAGAACUAUGAUGUUCUUGGGAUCUUGGGGUCACACUUGAUAUCAUCUUCUUCUAACCUUCCUUACAAUGAACUUUCUUCAACUUGGAUCCAAACAGAUUCAAGAAACUGUUUCUUGAAUAUAUAUAUACGGUGCUGAUGCCUAAUAAUUUGUCAAGAAACUAAAUCUUUAUUGGUAAAAAAUAUGAUGUACAUGUGUAUCAGCUAAAAGAAAAAACUCCUUAAGGAUCUAAUAAUCUAGAGUGUAAUUAAGCUUUGGAUUGUAAAAAAAUAAUAUAGCAGUGAUUAUGGUGAUAUCUGGCAUUGUAUAAUUAAUUUCCUGAAUCUUGAUUCUAUAUUCAGUAUUUUGUUAACUGCAGCUGCUAUAUACAUAUAUAUGUGUGUUUUAUGGAUUUUUGGAUAUAUAUGUAUAUAUAUAUUUUAUCAAUUUCAAUUCAAUGAACCAACGGUUCAAAUUUCUCCAAACCUUGAGCUUGAAUCAAUUCUUCAGUUAGUGGUUCUGAUUUGAGUCAAAUCUGUCAGCCAAUGUUAUGACACAUUGGCACCACACAUGUUCUUUUCCCCGAAAAUAAUAGUCUUGGUGUUACGUGUAACCAAUGGAAAUUUGAAUAAAUGUUAAUAAAAUUUUAAAGAUUCUAUUAACCUAACAAAUUAAAAAAAAAAUUAUAAAUAUUCAAUCACAAAGAAAUUAUGAUUGUUGUUUACAAAAGUUCAUUGUUUAUUAAUGUAGAAAAGUCGCAUCGUUUUUAAAUUUGAGCUUGAAUUAAAUUAAAAAUACAAUUAAAAUAUUGAGUUUUGAAUUAAAUUAAAUUAAAUUUGUUGGUGCCAUUAAAAAAACGCGAUUGCAUUUGGCUAAACCACAAUUAAUUAAUUUUUCUUCUAUUCAACCGAAGGUGAAUUGAAUAGUUGGCUUUUGAAUAAUAAAAUUAUUAAGCAUCUUAGGUUUUAUUUAUUAAUAAAUGAAGACUUUGACCAUUAUAUUUUUUGAAAAUUAGUAAAAAGAGAAAAAAUAAAUUAAUUUUUAAAAUAUAAUUAAAUUAACACAUAACAAUUUUUAUUUGUAUUUUUAAAUAUUAAUUAUAAUAUUUUUAAUUUAUAUCAUAUAUUAUUAUUCCAACACACUGAAUUAAUUAAGACUAAAUUCUGCUAUCGAAUUUCGACCUCACUUGUAUAAGUGAAGAAUAUCAAAUCACUCGUUCAACAUGUAUUAGUAUUUAAUUUUUAAAAAUAAAGAUUAUCAUGUAGUAUUAAAUUAACUAUGGUUUAAAAACAAAUUUUAAUAAUUUUCAAAAAAAAUUAAUUUUUCUCUUAAAAAAUUUACCGGGCUGAAGUCCAGAAAAGGCAUCACUACCUAACAAUGAAAUCCACGUGUCCAACAUGCGUGGGACCGACAGAAGUUGCUAAGUCACCGAAGUGAGUGCCCGUUUAGGGAGAGUUCUUUUGUGAACACAGUGAGCUCACUGUGGGCUGCGGUUCCUAAUCUCUAACUUAGAAACCAACCGCUCCAUCUCCAUCUCUCCAAAUGGCGUCACCGUCAGAUCACAAAGCCGCCGUAAUCGACGGUAAGGCGAUCGCCCAGACCAUCCGAUCCGAAAUCGCCGAUGAAGUCCGUCAACUCUCUGAGAAAUAUGGCAAGGUCUUUAUCGAACUUCUCGCUCUUAUUCUCUGUCUAGUAACUUGAAUUAUCUCCUUGUUCGUAUAUGUUAGUAUUAACCUCAUUUGCUUGCUACUGAGUUCAAGCGCAUGUAACCUGGAAAUGAAAGAAUCGAAAAGGUUCUGUUGAGUUGUUCGGAGUAGAUAUUUUGCAGCCAAAUUUAGUGCGAAAUAGAAAUAUUAAUUUCCGAUUAUAUGGAAUUUCAUUGUGGUCUAAUUCGAACUUAAAAUGUUGAAUUUGCUUGAAUUUUGUUACUUCUCUGAUUUCUUUGGUCCUUGCACAGUGCUGUAGAUUCUUGGCUAUCCUAUAGGCAGAUUUGUCAAUUGGAUUAACCUUGUUUCUUUUGUCUUUAAUCUAAGAGAACAUUUGGCCUUUCAGUUCAAUGCAGCUCGUGGAGCCUAUUUUCAGUCCAAACGAGGUUGCAUUUCAAAAUUUAAUUGCAAACUCUGGCUAUUCUAGUUGCAAAGAAUGAUGUAUCUUUACCUUAUAUAGAGACGCAGAAUGAGUUAGCUAGAAUGCAUGUUCUUGAUCUUCUGUUCUUUUGCUCUCUAACUGCUUAAUUAACUAUCACAUGAUUGGCUCUAAAGAUUCCUCUUUCUGAACUAUCAAACCAAAUUGAUUCAAUUACUUGAAUGAAACAUGUUCCUGCUACACUGUUCUGUCACCUGUGAUUGCUUAAUUAAACUGCCAAGCUGAAAGGACACUUGCUUCUGAAAUAUGAAGCCUAAUUGGUUAAACUUUAACCAACUGUCAGCAUGAAAUAUUAGUCUGUUGUUCUCUAAGGCUUGGAUUCUAAUGCUUUUCAUCUUUUGGUCUGUUCAGGUUCCAGGGUUGGCUGUUGUCAUUGUAGGCCACAGAAAGGAUUCUCAAAGCUACGUGAGUAUGAAAAGGAAGGCAUGUGUUGAAGUUGGGAUAAAAUCGUUUGGUGUAGACCUUCCAGAACAAAUAUCUGAAGCUGAAUUGAUUAGCAAGGUCCACGAGUUAAAUGCAAAUCCUGAUGUACAUGGUUGGUUUGUUGUUAAUUGGAACAAAUAUAUUUUCUCAUCUAAUAGCUUUUCUCUUGUUUAAUGAUUAUUUCUAUGUUGUUUUACUCAUAAUAAGAAGAAGCCACAUACGUGCAUAUGCAUAAACAGUAGGAAAGGUCAUCAUUUUCAACAUUGUAAUAUCUAACUUAAUAUAUGUGACUGAGAAGGACCUUUGAAUUACUGUGACAUCUAUUUUUGAACAGCUGAUGAAACUUGAGCUAUUUUUUUGUUUUAACAAAAAGUUUAAAUGUUAAAAGAGGAGUAAGUAGGAAACUGCCCUUACUUCUGUUUGUCACAAUGUUCCUUUUAAUAUUGUCAAAAAAUUUUGAAGCAAUCUUUUGGUACAUUGACAGGAAUAUUGGUUCAGCUGCCAUUGCCAAAGCACAUCAAUGAAGAGAACAUUUUGAGUGAAAUCAGUCUUGAAAAGGAUGUAGAUGGUUUUCAUCCUUUAAACAUUGGCAAACUUGCGAUGAAAGGCCGAGAACCUCUUUUUGUUCCCUGUACCCCUAAGGCAAUAUAGCUGGUCUCAAAAUGCUUUCAAUUUAAUUUGUUGGAAAUCUACUGUGUGAUCAAUCCUUCCGUCCUUCUUCCAUGAUAUACUUACCAAUGAUAUUAACUCAGAAAUUUAUACAUUUCCUAAGAAGAAAUUUCUUCUUUUAUAUAUACAGGGUUGUCUGGAACUUCUAUCGCGAAGUGGAAUUAGUAUAAAGGGGAAAAAUGCAGUUGUUGUUGGUCGUAGCAACAUAGUUGGAUUACCAGUGUCACUGUUGCUUCUGAAAGCAGAUGCCACGGUAACCAUUGUCCAUUCCCGCACUGAUGAUCCGGAAAGUAUCAUUCGUGAAGCUGACAUCAUUAUUGCUGCCGCUGGGCAAGCAAAGAUGGUAAGUGGACCCAAUUCAUUCUUGCUUAGUUGCAGUGGAAUUGUUGAGUUAAAAUUUUCUCUUCUUGCAUACCUUUUUUCACAUGUAAGUUAUAAUAGAUUGCUGUUAUUUACUCCAAAUAAUAGAUUGAUAUGUAAUGUUACAGGUAAAUCAACAAUUUGGAAGUACUUUUGGUUGGCUUUGAUAUAUGUAUAGUUCAUUUUCUUAACUUUCAGGUCAAGGGCAGCUGGAUUAAACCUGGUGCUGCCGUUAUUGAUGUUGGGACAAAUGCUAUUGAUGACCCAAGUAGGAAGUCGGGUUAUAGGCUAGUGGGAGAUGUAGAUUAUGAAGAAGCAUGUAAAGUGGCCGGAUGGAUUACUCCUGUUCCUGGCGGUGUGGGUCCAAUGACUGUUGCAAUGCUACUGAGGAACACCGUGGACGGUGCAAAGCGUGUAUUUGGGCAGUAAUAUGCUCCAUACGUACUCUCUUUUAAUAUGUUUUGCCAAUUUUCUUCACAAGUGUUGUCCUCCGUGUUCACUCCAUAAUAGGCCUAGCACAUCCCAACCUUUACUUAUUGCUAUAAUCAAAGGAUUUUGCAUCUAUUUUUAUUAGCAUGAUGAUACAUUCGCAUGAAGGGCCACUACAAAGUAUGUUUAGAAGUCCUUCUGGAGGCAGAGUUGUGAAGAGCCACCAUAUAGUUUAAUUCCAGGCAGGGACAUGUGAACCAGCAAGAUUACCCGUACCUAUUUUUUGUUAUCCCUUCAAUUAUAUCGUCGUAAUAACACUUUUCACAGGAAAUAGUGUCCACCUAGCCCAAGUCCAAAUAAAAGACCCAACUCUUUAUUGGGUCUACUUUCAAUCUCCUCUUAUUUAAGCAUGAUCCUGUGUUUACAUCUGAGAAAGGAUAAAAAUUAUGAGACGGUGAGAGUAAUAUUUAUGAUAUUAACAUGCCCUUACAUUAAUAUUAUUAUCUUGUCAAAUUUGAAUUUACAUUCUCUAAGAAAGCCAUUAAAUUUGUUUAAGUUACAAUAAAUUAUUGAGUAAAUUGACUAUAUUACAUUUAAUUUAAUACUAAUUCUCUAAGAAAAUUAUUAAAUUGAAGUAAUAAUUAUUAGUCGUAUAUAAAAGAUAAAUAUGGAAAAAAAUAUUGAAAUUACGAAUGUGACGAUAAAUGUGAUAAGUAUUUUAGAAGAAAAUAAUGUGACAAUAAAUAUGAUAAGUAUUUUAAAAUAAACCAUUUUCUCAAACAUAACAAAUAUUAUGGACAGUAGAUAUUAUUUUUAAUAAAGAAAUGAGUGAGAAAAUUAUUGAUAACUGGCAUAUGAAAUGGGGGGUGUAUCUAGAUAUUAAGAAACUAAUUGUACGGUUAAAACGAAAAUAGCUUAUAAUUUGAGGUAAAUGAGAGAAUGUAGGAAGUCUAUCUUUGUUGGACUAAGGGAGACUGCUCCAGUCGCUGUGGUUGACUAUUUAGAUAACCGUUAGCCAAAUGGUAUAUAACCAAUGAUUCAAUUACAGUUGGUCGUUUAGCGACAGCAUCCGAACAAGCAAUGUAACCUUAAUUCAUAUGCUGGCUGAAGUCGUAGCCAGAGACAAACAAUAUCUUAGACUUAAAGAGAAAGAGUGGGAGAUCCGUGAAGAAUGACAAAAGUGAUGAGAGUAGUAAUAACAAAUCUUGAUUUUGAUAAAUACGCAAUUGAAAACUUAUCCAUAAAUUAUUCUCUUUGUCAAAAAUGUUGGUUGUGGAGCAUUUGGAAAUGGAGUCUGAAUGGGCAAAUCCCCUUCCAAUAUAAUUAAUGAAGUAUCAAGAAAAUAACAAACAACAAAGCAGCGUUAUAUUUCAAAGAGGCGUAACUAGAACCACAAGAAAAUUGAGUGAAGCAAUCAAGAAAAGGAACUUGACCCACUGCCCUUAUUACUUGUGAAGUUAGGAUUUAGGAAGAGGAAUUAUAAUUAUAUUAUAUUAUAAUAACAAUCAUUCACAUACUCAUACAACAAACCCAUUAAUAUUUUAAUCGUAAUAAUUAAAUUAGAUAUAAAUAAUACCAGUGCAUGUAUUUAGGAAAUAUUGAAAACAGCAUAUAUUUUUGGUUUUACCCUGUAUAUACAAUCAUAUUGUCUAACAUAAAUUCAUUAUUCUUUAAAAAGAAAAAAUUAAUAUUCAUGAUUUCUUAUAAAAAUAAUAUAAUUAUGAGUUAAUAGGAAAAAAAAAUAGACAUAAUUAGCUGAAGAUUAGGAAAUUUGAUAAAAUUUGCAUAAGCGUAAAUCUACGGCAUGAAAUUGCUAAUUAGAUUGUCCUGAUUAACAAUUAAUUAAUGUAAUCAAACAUUAACGGAUGGACCUAAAUUGCCAAAGAAGGUUAAGAAGAUGGCUAACUUUUCUACACUGUAAUUCCACGAAAGCUUCAAAUUCAGAAUUCAACAGCUACGUUUUACCCAAUCAUGUCAUUAUGCUCAACAUCAACUGGAAGUGGUUACUUGUACUAACUAACUCUCUGACAACUACGUAAUUAACAACUGCAUAGACUACCGUUAAUUAGCGUACACGUGCGAUCAACGUGUCUCUUAUAUAUUCUUAUAUAUAUAUAUAUGCUUAGUUGUUUACUCCAUGCACGUAGCGGUUGAGUGUUGAACCUUUGAUUUUAUCAAGUGCUGUACAGGAAAAAUGGGUAACAGAGAAUCUUUGUUCUUCGCGCUUGUUGGUCUUGUCGUUUUGGCUCCUGCCAUUGUAGUUGCAGUGGGUUCUGGUCGCUGUGAACCGAUUGAGGCUAACGAUAAAGAUUUGGUUCAAUUUGCUAUGAACUUGGAAUUCCUUGAAGCUGAAUUCUUCUUGUUUGCUGCACUUGGUAAGGGUCUUGAUGCUAUUGAACCGGAUUUUGCCAAGGGCGGUCCCCCUCCAAUUGGAGCCCAGAAGGCUAACCUCGAUCCUGUCACCUGUUCAAUUAUCGAGGAAUUUGGCUAUGAAGAAGUUGGUCACCUCAGGUUCUGAGAUUUAUCUUUAUUUUUUGGAUUCAAUUUCUAUUAAGUGAUGAAAAAACUAAUUAGAUUAAUAUUAUUACUCUCAGUUAAUUUGAUAAAAAUCUUUGAUUUGCAUUCCAAUGAAAAAGCUAUAUAAAUAAGUUCAAUAUCCAUCUCAACGGUUAUUUUUUUUUUCCCUAGGGCUAUUAUAAAAACAGUUGGUGGAAUUCCAAGGCCUCUGUAUGACCUAAGCCCUGAAACAUUUGCGAAAGUGUUUGAUGAAGCACUUGACUGCAAAUUGGACCCGCCAUUUAACCCCUACCUCAGCUCGGUCAACUAUCUCUUGGCAUCCUAUGUUAUCCCUUACGUAGGACUCGUAGCAUAUGUUGGCACCAUCCCCAAUCUAGAAGACUACACUAACAAAAGAGUAAGAUCACAUAUCUAUGUAUAAUACUAGAAAGUUGUUUGGAUUGACAGAAUUUAAACAAUAUUUUUUUAAUCUUUUUAUAAUUUUUCUUUAUGAGUAGCUUGUUGCAGGGUUGUUAGGCGUAGAGGCAGGACAAGAUGCAGUGAUACGAGGAUUAUUGUAUGAAAAAGCUUAUGAGAAAGUAGAGCCUUAUGAUAUAACAGUAGCAGAGUUCACUAAUGGAAUAUCAUUUCUAAGGAACAAGCUUGCAAUGUGUGGGAUUAAAGACGAAGGCCUAAUUGUACCUCCAGAGCUUGGAGCUGAGAAGAGGACUGAGAGUAACGUAUUAUCAGCAGAUGAAAAUUCCCUAUCUUAUGACCGUACACCACCUGAGAUUUUAAGGAUAGUUUAUGGAACCGGCAGCGAAUAUAAGCCCGGUGGUUUUAUGCCUGACGGUGCAAAUGGUAGAAUUGCUCGGAGUUUUCUAGAGAGCCAUUAAAUAAUUAAUUAAUUAACGAGGAUGUUUGUUCGUGUGUUAUAAUAAAAUAAAAUGUAUAGUAGUCAAACAUCUCUAGUAUUGUGUUUACGCUUAAAAUUUCUUUUGUUAUAUAAAAAUUUUAUGUUUCGUUGUGUGAGGUUUACCAAAACAUAAUAAAAAUUCGUAUCAACUUGGUAGGUGGAUUCUGAAGAUACUUGUUGGGCCAAAUGUAUUGGUACUAGCAAGUUCUGAUCCACGUCUGAUGGCCCAUGUCGCUUGUCAAUAUUAUUUCUUACAAAAUGUUUUUUCAGUUUUCUUAUUUCUACAAUUUCAACUGUUGUAAUCAAAAUGGAAGUUCAAGAUAUUAGUAAAAGAAAAUUGAAAAAUUUAAGAUUUUUUUAAUCAUUUGGCCUAACCUUAUCCUAAAUUUUAUUUAUUUAUUUAUUUAUUUUCUAAGAUCACCAAUUAUGCGUGCUCAAGGGAAAGACAGUAAGGCGACCGAAUCUUACCUCGUUCGUCCCAAGUUUCAUUAGAUCAUGAUUUAGUUUGGUGAGUUUAAGGAUAAGAAGAUGGUUAGUUGUUAAUAAUGCAAUGCAUUUCUACAAUAAAAGCGAUUGUAAUGAUUUAUCCUCCAUAUCUAGCAAUCAUCAAAACGACAUAAUUAAGAACAUAAUAUAUAUAAUGAUUCUAUAUCACAUUUUUAAUCCGUUGCUAUAAUAUUAUUAUUUCCAUACCAAUUCAACUUUUAAAACUAGAAUAGAUCGAUUUUAUAGUUUUACGUUCAAUAAUUUAACUCAUGUAAUCCAAUUUAGUUAAUAACUAAGAGUACUACAUUUAAAUGAAGAAAUUGAUUCAGUUACUCAUGUUGAUGUCAAAGUGGAAAUUUUAAUAUCCAUCAGCCUUCUCACACUCACUUAUGUGAAGAAUAGGAGGUCUCGACCUCCUGUUGUGUAGCCGCUAGUGAUUUUUAGCCUAUAAAACCCUCAAAUGUAAAUAAAAAAAAAAAAUUAAAGACAAGUAAAUCCAAAAUCGCACAGGCAAGGGAAGCGUGAGUGACUGAUGAUGAGGAAAAAAGGAAAGGAAUGACCAUAAGCUGCGGUGAUUGAUUAGAGAAAUUGCAUUGGAGAACCGUAUUUACUUGGGCGGUUAUUUUCAUGCUGGUGGAAUUAAAAUCAUGGAGAAGGCACUCUUUGUGGUGGGGAGCAAAGAAAGGAGUGAAUUUGGGACAUACGACUCCUUGAAAUCAAAAUCCAUUAUUAAUGUAUUAUGAUCUGAUAGGCCCCUUCUUUCUGGAGAUUCUUUUUUUUUUUUUUUUUUCUUUUUCCUUUUUAAGCAUCAGAUUAUGUAAUCCGAAUAUUCCCUGAUCUUUCCAAGAGGCAGAAUGAAACUGACUUAUAGAAAUUUAUUUUACACUACACAGCCUCAUAUACCUUUCAACCCAUCAAAUUAUUUUAUCACUAAGUUAUGUCAUGGGUUUGAUGUUUUCUUUAUAUAUAUAGAUAUAUUUUUCCUAAGGUUUUAUUUUUCCUGUCUCAUAGUAAUUUUAAAAGCAUUGUUUUCUCGUAUUAAUAUUCUAAGUUCAAAAAUGUAAUAUCGAACCCUAAUUAAUGUCGAUAAACAAAAAAUUGCCAACUUAAUGAAUUGGACCAAUCCUUUUAAUUAAUGAGUAAUUCUGAUAAAAAAAUUGUACAAGUUAUUUUAUUAUAUGAUCGUUUCAUUCCUCAAGUAAAAUAUUUCCAAAACAAAGAAAAUUUGUUUUUAAAGAGAUUAAAAAAAAAAAAAGAUAAAAGACAUGAAACUAAAAAAGAAACUAGAAAGAAAAUCACAAGUAAAAUGAAAAAGAAGAAAAAAAAAAAAAAGAAAGAAGAGGUUAUUGGCUUUUCCCAUAAAGCAAAAUCUAGUACCUUAUCAAAAACAUGGAUAAGCAAGUCAAAGGAAUGGACAAAAUUGUGUGAAGAAUAAAAACAGCAUUGACAAAGAAAUGUCCUAACAAUUCAUGCGCCCGUUGAAUGAUUUCUAGUAAAAUUAUGAUUAGGUUAAUUUAUGAUUAUUACCAAUUUUUCCUUUUUUUUUCACUGUCUAAAAAAGUUUCAUGUUAUUUCUAUUUUUAAGUUUUGUUUUUUUCUGAAUUAAAAUUUUAUUUUUCGAAAAUCAAGCUAAGGAAAUUAUUUUUCAUAUUUUUUCCAUGUUUUGAAAAUUUAUUUUUCUGUCUUAAAACGCUAAAAUAAUAUUAUGAAUAAUAAAUAAUAAAUCUUUCAAAUUGAAAAAUAAAAAAAAUAAUAAUACCAAGUCAAUCCUUAAAUUUUGUGUAAUGUAAUGUCCAUAUAAUAGGUGAGGCUAUCUAUCUAUCCAUCCAAAUUCCAAACAGUGUCGUUUCUUGAUUGGAUUAAUUCAUAAUUUAUUCAUCCCCAAAAGCAAAUAUUCAUGUCGUAUCAAAUCGUACAACAGUGGACCUAACUAAUAUGAUGUUGGUCCGCACAUCUUAGGACAGCAGAGCAGGGAAUUUUGCAAUUUUAUUUUUGUUUUCAGCCAGUGCUGAGAGUGCAAUUGACUCACAUGUGCAUACGUUAGUGCACUGAGAUUUUUCUACCAGUUGGUAAAGUUUGACAAGGGAUAUAACAAAUUUGUUGAAGCUCCUCCUAUAAAUUUUGAUCCAACCAAAAGUUAGUUGCUUGAAUAAUAGAGAUAAUAUUUUGAUACUAAUCAAAAGACAUUCGUCGGCAAAACGAGAUUAUUGAAUAGGUUAAAAUUUUAGCAGACAACAGUGCAACAAUGAGUGGCAUAUCAUAGGAAGGAAGCAAAUAAAAUCCAAAGGCAUUUUGCUUGUUUUAGCCCCUGUGUUGAUGAGAUGACUAAGAAUCCUAGUGGGAUAAAAUCAUUAAAAGAGACCAAUCAAAUGACUGAAAUGUGCCAUCAUUUUCAGAUUCUUUCAUUUUUGUCUCCAAAUGCUGCAAUGUGUGACCUAGAUUACUUCAGGUAUCUCCAUGCAACAAUUAGUACAAGAUUAAGUUUAUUCUAUAACUAGCUUUUUUCCCCCCCAAAACCUUCAUUAUAAUUAUCCAUUACUUGCUCUAUUACUUCAUUUUAUUGGUUUGCAAUUGCUAAUAAGAUUAGGACAUUAAAAAAAGAGAAACAUUGAAUUCAAAGAUUCUAACUUUCCCUUAACAAUAGGAAUGAUGGCACAGAUUAAACCACCCUACAUCAUGGUCAUGGGCAUCACCCUUGAAUGUCACCUAACUAGCAUUAGCAGAACAGAGAGAUUAACAAAGGAAAAGAUCCAAAUUUUUUAUGGCACACUGUUAAGGAAUCCAAGUAGGAUCUCUUGAACUAAAGAAAGAUGCCUUGACAUGAGAAUUAAGUAACUUGAGAGCAGCAUUAGACUUGAUGCACCUUGGCGUUUUAUACUGAUUGAUUGAUGCCCCUUGGCUGAUGAACAAAUCCAUCAGCGCCUCGAAUGUACCAGGCUCCACUACACGUAUCUCCAGUGGUCCUAUGGACUUGUCAUAGGUGCGGCAUCUCCUGUACACAUAAUCAAGUUCUUCUUCCACAGCAGCACAACAUUCAUGGAGCACCUUAGCGUCAAGUGGGGUCAGAGAAUUGUCAAUGACUGAUGAUAAAUGAUGUAGGAUUUCCCAAUACAAUACAUAGUGCCCUGGUACAGAUGAUGUAUCUGCAUAGCUAGUGUAUUCCACGAGUAGCGCAUUGUGGGGUUCAAGUAAUUUCUUUGCAGUUGUGAUGCUCUUGUGAAGAUCUUCCUCGUUGGUUUUGUCAUUGUCAAUGCUGAGAACCACGUUUCUCCUGCAAAUGAAACGGAAUUGCGGGGCUCGAUUGUGGAAUCCAGUCACUUGAAGCACAUCACCGAUACGAUAACGAUAUAAUCCUGGAUAAUUUACAGAAAGAGUGUGAGUGGCAAUAUUUUAAGUCAUCAAAGGAAAAAAAGAUGAGAGAGAGAGAGAGAGAGAGAGAGAGAGAGAGGGAGCAGGAUAACCCAGCAAAUAACAGAAAUUCCCCAGACGGCAUUUCAGGCAAAAAGUUCUACUGAAGGAUAUCACACACUUAAAAGAUUAAAAAGCCAAUGCAAGGAUAUAUUAUUACCAGCAAAGGUAGUGACCACCAACUCAUAAUAACAACCUCGUCUAACAUGCACCAGAUCGACGAGCUUAUCAUUAGGCACCUCCUCUUCCUCCUCAACAGCCAUUAACCAUGUUCCAUGUUCUCCCAGAGGUAUAAACUCAAAAUAACACAUAUUAGGCAUGAGGGUAAAUACCACAUCUGCAGGAUCAGACAAGGGUUUCAAGUUCACACCAAAGUAAGACUCCGAGGAAGCAUACAUGGUACACACCAAAGGCAACUUUCCCUCACUGUAGUACUCAAGGGCUGGAAUAUAUUGUGCCAUAGACCCUGUCACCACUGCUUCAAUAUACUUGGUCCUAGGCCAAAGACGACAUAAAAUACCCUGCCAUGAUGAGAGGCUGCAAAUUUCCUCAAUUUCAUCUGCAAGCCAAGGAUUAGGUGAUGAUAGUAUCAUUGACAUGCAUGAACGGCAUUCAGGAUCUGUGAUCAUAGCAUCUAGUUCACCAUUGCGUAUAUCAUUGCAUAGGCGAACCCAGUUGUGUUCCAGGAAUGAAAUGGACCGGAGCAAGGCUGAUGCAAAAACAGCUCCUAUUCUUAGGACUUGGUGACGGAGAAUCAAGCCAGAUAGCAACUGGCAAUACAUGCUCUGGUUGCUAUCUUUGCAUAAGAUAGCUUGGUCCGGGCUAGUAAAAUCAUUGAACGAAUCUCUUGUUCGACACUUAAAGUGCUUACUCUUGUAGUAACUCGUUAACACAGUUCGAGCUGGUAAGCCACAAGGAGUGGACAUUUCAGCCUUGACAAAGUACAAAAACAUGGCCUUACCUUCAUCCAAACCAGAUACAUACCUGAAAUUACAAUGUUAAGUUCAUCAAUAAAGCUGGAUUCUAGACCUUUGCAAUAAAUUGUUGCUCAUAAAGAAAAUAAAAUAAUGAUGGAUGGUGCUAGCUAAGUGAAAUCCAUGAUUCCACUAACACCAGACAGCUUCAGUGCUAGCUUAUCGACUUUCCAUAUAUGCUGCCAGCAGUUAGGGCAUUCCGCAAGAUGUCAGAUUCCCAUGCUAGGCAAAUGUAAAAGUAAUAUACCUCAUCAGCAUAUUGCCUGCUUGUACAACAAAUAUGAGAAGAUAAUUACUUUGUUUUACUAUUUCUGAAGACUAUUCUAUAUUGACUUUUGAAUGCAAGAGGGGAGUUCUAGCAACUUCUACCCACUAAUGCAUGGUAUUAGAUCCUUCCCGGUCAAGGUCAGUAUGUCCACAAGCUCAUCAUGUCACACCUUCAUUCCAUAACUCAUACAAGAAACAUUAAUUGUUUGACUAAUAAAAGUGAAAGAAUGAGGGAGGUCCUACAUAGAAUUAUAUAUUUUCCUCGGAAGAUAAACAUGCAUAAAUUAGGACAACUGACAUACUAGUUGUUAAGACACAACAUGUAAAUUAUAAUUCGCCUUUAAAAUUGCAUCUGCAUGCAAUCAUAUAAUAUAUAGGACAUGUAAUUAACUGGUUCAUAAUUGGCGUGAUGAGGUUAUAUAUAAAUGUGCGCCUGUCUAGAUCUUCCGCUAUUGAUGGCAUUAAUUUAGGUUCUCCAGCAGAAGUCCCUGAACUGCAAAUGAAGAAAGUCGAGUCAAUAAUGUAAAUAAAAAAAUAAAAGAAAAGGAAAGGAAAGAUCCAUAUCCUAAUAAUAUAAAACAAGCUCAGAUGGUAAGGCUUGCAUAACAGAGGGGAAGGGGGACAGAGAGAGAGAGACCUGCAUAACAUUUCAGUUAUAGGAUGCCCAGUAAUAAGAGAAGAGUCCUCUCCAUUAGCAAUUCUUUGGAUAUAGGGAUAGAUAUCCUUGUAUGUGGUGACAGGGACACAACGCUUAAACUCUUUCACAUCUUUUGAUCCUUUAAUAUGCUUGCUCAAAUACUCAGUUUUCCCAUUUUGCAUUAAGAUCUCCUUCAAUAUGCUUUCCUGAAUUUCACCAGCCUUCUCUGUAAGUUUCUCAAUCUCUGACAAUGCAUCCUCACCUUUGUACUCCAACUUCUUUCCAUCCAUGAUAUCAAGGAAGGAGCAAGAGGUGUAACAAGGUAUUAGUGUAUCCAAUACUGAGAGCCAAAGGGGUCUAUAUAUAAUAUGAUAGUUAUGGGAUGCUGCUUCUUAUAUAUGUUCUUUACUUUUUCAACAUCAUUUCAAGCUGAUUGCGGAAAUAAAAUGGUAUAGAUUCCAUCUAUAAUGUGGUCCCUCACUAGCUUUAUAUGAACUAAGAACCGAGACUUCACCAUACCAUGACAAUUAUUUUUGUAUGCAAGAAAUAUAGCGACUUAAAAUACUUUUUUAACACCUGAUCAUGUCACUUAAAAAAUAUGAGCAGCAAAUUCUGAAGUCCUGCACACAACUGUGAUGCAGCAUCAAGUAUCAUUGAUCCUUAUUUAUUUUGAGGAUAAUCUCAAGCCUUAAUUUCCUUAGUUGUUCCAUUAGUAUAAAGCAAAUUUUAAGGUUCAAAAUUUUAGUGGGAAAAUAUCAUGUUUUGUGAAAUCUCUCUUAGGAUAAACAUUUUGUAAGUAGUUUGGUUUCUAACACAGUUCCAAUCAGUGUACUUCAAACUGAGAUUAAUAAUACUAUGUUGGAAAAUUUUAUGUGAUUGUAACUUGAAAGCCUUCAGGUGUUACAACCAUGACUAGGAGUACCAGCUAGAAAUGCCAUGUUCUGUAUAAUAAUAUAACAUAUUCAUGUGAAGAUAUAUAUCCUUAGUAUGUGACUCCUUGCCUAAGCACACCGGAAUAUAAAACAUGAUUUGAGAUGAUGGCAACCUAUCAGAAGUCAGAUUCCACUUUCCAUGAUUUAAUUGUGAUUCAAUUGGAAUGAACAUAUCUUAAAAUUUCAUUUUAAGACGACUGUAACCUAUUUUCAAUUUUUAACAUUUUACAAUCUAGACAAAACAAAGUUUUCAGAAUCUGGUUCUAUUUAUUGUCCACAUAUUGCAGUCCUUUGCUUAUGUCUAAUCUCAAAAAAAGCAUGAGAAAGCUAAACAAAUCAAAUCUUUAUUUAAAGUAUCAGUUCACUCCCUCUCAGUAAGAAUGUGAUGCAUAAACACACACAUGCGCGCGCAUAUGCACAAAAAAAUAAAAGAAUUACAAAAAAUGAAAAGAGUCCUUUUAACGGGGGCUCCAGUGAUUAACAACUGCACCAAAAAGAUCCUAUGCAACAAUUUAAGUGUGCAGGUAUAUAUGGUCAUUCAACAGCCUCCAUUAACAUAAAGUUAUUCCUGAGCACCAUGUUAAUGAAAAUAUAUGGAUUAAGCAAAUUGUGGCCUCUUUUUAGAGGAUGGAAUUUUAGCGGAAGUCCUAUAGUAACAAGGCCAAAAAAAUCCCAGCCUCUCAACAAGUUUAAGAUGCUUGAUCGAGGGGUCUGCAUGUCUGCAAAAUCCUUAUCCAAAUGUAGAUGAUGCAGUGUCAUGAUCAACAUCUUUAGCACAUGUACAAUUAAAUAAGAUUGAUGCUCGCCGUAUACAUUGAUGAUCUUUCUUUUAUUUCUUUUUUUUCUCAAAAGUGUGAACGACAAAGUGGAUCUCUGCUGACGCCUCUGAUCUCCACCAUCAAAAUUACAUGGAGACAGCAGUGCCAAUGCAAAAGAAAUAUUUUCCAUACCUGGAAAACUUGAGAUAAUGCAGGAGAAAGUAAACUUUAUUGAGCCUUGUUUUUUUCCACGACUAGAUGGAGCACAUCGCGUGCUGUCACUCAAAUCAUAAUGUCGUCCAAUACAUGUUGGCAGCAUUCUCCAUACGAAUAAUGGUUCAGCACUCAUCAAACGUCUCACAGUAUGAUCUUGGUCAUUUCCGUAUGUACUGCAAAAUCAUUAAUUCAUAUAAAUAGUUUGGAUAUUGCCUCUUGAAUUUUAUUGCCUGCUGAUAUUAGUCUAUGGACUUGUCAUCAGAAAAGUAAAAAAUCUAGACAGGCUUGGAAAAAAAAAAAAAUGCAAUAAUGGCAUAUGGGUAGCCUCCCAUGGCCAACUUUUUCUUUCCCUUUGAUAUGACUUGCAAAAAUUUACUUGACACUGUUAAUGAAUAAGAAUAUGAGAAAAGCAAUGGAAUUGUAACUAUAUUUAUUAGCAAUUCAUAGUUGUUCAGUAAUUGAAUCAGAGCCAAUAAAGCAGGGUUUAGAUGUAAUUGAACUAAAAUUUUCCGAUGAAGUACUGUGGUCCAAUAUCCUACUGCUCCCAUAGAACUUCUAUGCGGAUAGGGUUUUACAUGGGCCCAUCUAGUUAAAUAGACCCUACUCAACAUGAUGUAAGCCACCUAAAAAGAUUUAGUUGGAGUCCAGCACUCAGGACAAAAAAGAGCAAAGACACAUGCUUCCUAUAGAGAAUGCCUGGUUUAGCAUUCUUCUAGCAACCAACAUAUGGGAAGCAGCCUUUUGGACAGUGAGGUAAAAAAAUGUGACAAAUAAGAUGUACAACAAUCUUUCACAGAAAAAGCAGGUUGCUUGUAGGUGGUAAUGUUGGAGUGACAGGCUGACCGGCAUGAUAGGGCUUGAGAUAGGAAACAUGGAAAAUAGGGUGGAUCUUGGACUCUGCUGGAAGGUCUAGUUUAUAGGCCAUGGUGCCAAUGCGUUCCAGAACCCGAAAGGAAUGUAAUGUUACCAAACCCCUGCAAGUAUAUUCCCGUUAUACCCAUGGUCCUAAGUCCAAGUCACCGGUAUGUGAGUUGCUGAAUUAGUCAGCAGUAGUUGUUCUCUUUCUGUUUUAAUUUUGUUUCAACAUUCCUGCAUUGUAGGAGGGUAUUCCUCCAUUUCCCUAUUUUCUUGUUGUUAGUGGGAGGUUAUUCCUCCAUAUAGAAGUAGUGCUCCUUGUAUGUAGGGAGUAGUUAUUUCUGCACUUGUAUAUAUUCAGCAAAUCUGAUGGAAUAAAGUGACUGUUAGAACCCAAUUUAAGUCUUCUUGACUGAGGUUUCAGGCUCCCUUUAACGAGUCUGACCUUUUCUUGUCUUCCACCAUAGGUCGCUCAAGGAAACACCCUAACCCAAACACCCAAACACCAACCCCUCCUACUACCCAUCGACCCAUAACUAGAUCCGUUAGCCAGGACCAUAACACUUUUCUUUUGGAAGUGUGAUGUGAUGAAAUGUACUAACCCUCUAUGAGUUAUAGCCAAUUGGACAUAGUUUGCAUUGUAGAUUAUCACCCAGUUACAGUCAUCAUCCUCAAUCAGGAAAAGGGGUUGUGCAAUAAACAUAUAUACAUUGUCUGUCAGCAAAUUCAAUGGCUUUACCUUCACCUUCCUGGCACUUUCAUGGUUUUAAUGGAAUGCACGACUUAUGUGCAUCCUUCCAUUUAUCCACUUUAUAUGAAUUUACUUUCUAUUGAAUUAUAAGGAAAGUAAAGUAAUUUAGACUUUGUUUGAUUUAAUUUGAUAGAAUUACUUUCUUUGCCUUUUCUUAUUGUAAAAUAUCAUAGCGAAAGAAACAAAAGAAAAAGCAGCAUGCUUGACAAUUGCAAAAGGCAAAAAGAAAGUAACUUUAACCAGCUAACCAAACAUAGCCUUAAUUAUUAUUCACUGAAACUAAUUACAAAAAGUGAUGGCUCACUAUUCAAUGAGCAGAAUAUUUUUGACUGAGAUAGUAAAUUAUGCUUACAGUUACAAUAUUUUCAACUGAUUUCUCUUAGUUUUUUGAAAGUUAAGGAGAUGAUCGCUGUCCACCUGCAAGAUAAGAAACCAAAACUUGUUUAAUCAACAUUAUAAGAUUGACAUGUGAACUUUAAUUGUUCACAUUUAUUUACAAAUCAUUGAUUGAUGCUUGGCAGGUACAGCAUUGUAUAAACUCCUGCUGGUGCUCAGGCCUCAUAUCAUUGAUUCUAAUGUCUACAGCCAUAAUUGUUCAGUUCUUAUAUGAUAAUGCUCUCUCUUACUGCAAAAGUCAACUAAUGUAUGAGCCUAUGAGGUAAUCAUUACUUUUAGUCUAGAACUGUAUCCAAGUGGUCAAUCAACAGAAGAGAGGUACAAAGUAAGAAAAAGAAAAUCUAAAAGAUAAACAAUAAAGACGAAGCAUAGUUUCAACUAGUGUAAAAGAGACUAACACAAAUGUAUAUACACAUUGGAAUACAGAGGAAGAGCACAGGGUCAGGAAAUGGAUGUGCAAUAUGUACAAAUUGCUUUAUUCCAAAUACUAAUAUUAUGACUACGGAAAAUUGGUUCUUUGGAAUAAUUUGCAAAUUUGCUCGUCCAUGUUGCUGGGCUACAAUUCCAAGAAUAAAAAUUAUUCCUUGUUCUGGAAGGGUUAAGUCACCUAAUGUGCCAUUAAACCUAGCUAGGCAUGUAACGAUAACUCUUAACUCAGUACUAGAAAACUCAUUGAAGUUUAGAUAUUCUCUUGGAAACCAAUUCAGAUUUGCGUCAAGGGCAACAACACAGAGAUACAAACAAUUGAGAAUACCAUCAUCACAGAAUCUUAAAAGAAAAUGAACAAUUUCUGAUAAUUGGUAUUAUAAUAUAAACUUAGAACCGACUUCCUACUUUCUGUAGCUUUGCUCUGCAGCUAAAUGAGGCCAUUGUCGCAGGGCAGAUUGCAUUUCCGGUUUGGCUUAGAGUUAGAGCCCAAACUCAGAAAGGUUAUGUUUAAAGUUUAAACCCUAAUGAAAUGAAAUCAAAAGAAUUGCAUGAUUUUUUUCAUUAUCAACUGAAAUCAAUUAAUCUAACGUAACAUGCUGUGCAUACGUUUAUUUGUACGUAUAAACAUACACGUACAUACACGUAUAAAUGCCAGAGAGAGAAAAGGAAAGAAUCACGUGAAUCGUAGAAGAGCUCUGGAAUUUCUUUCUUUUAUCCAUUAAGCAUAUACGUAUACAAAUGCGAGAGGGAUAAAAAUCACCUGGUAUCGUAGAAGAGCUCGGUAAGAAGACGUAAGGAUCUUAUUUUUUGGAUCAUUGGAUGAUAAGGAUAGAGAACGACAGCGUUUAGGAAUACACGACUUCCAUAGAAAUAGCGAGUAUUAAAAUACCAGUACUCGAGCGAGUACCCGCAUCUAUAACACAGAUGCAGGGAACAGAGUUUUAUCUGAAAAACUGUGUAUUCAGCUGAGCGAGUGACGUCUAAACGCCUAAUGGCUGUAGCUGCUGUGGCGCUGAACAACAGUCUGCUAUGCUUCUCAAAUUCAACAACCAGAGCAACAAGAAAACCGCCAUGUGCAUGGUUUCCUGACGAAACAAGCUUGUUGGUACCUCGAAAGAAGGCCCAUUUCACUUUAACGUCUUACUCUUCUUCUUCGACUUCUCAGUCCCCUGAAUCCGGUACACAGACUCCAGAAUCCUGCGUCAAUUUGGGUCUCUCCCUCUUUUCCAAAGGAAGGGUAUCGUAUAUUUUCUGCUAUUAUUCUUUUUUUUUUUUUUCUUUUCUUCCUAGGAUUCUUGAAUUUACGCCCAAUUUGUUACAAAAUUCUAGUUUUGUAUUGAAAUGAUUGGGGAUUUUGAAGGUUAUAAUCUUGCUUAAAUUUGUGGAUAGAUAUUUCUUCCUUACCUACUACCAAGCAGUUGUUUUCUGAAGCAUACCCUUUUUUUUUUUUUUUUUUUUUUUUUUGUGGAUAAUUGAUUUAAUAUAAUCAAUAAUCAGCAAAAAAAAAAAAAAAAAAGUGAAGUUGAUAUUCUGUUAUUAAUUUUUCAGGUUAAAGAUGCUUUAGUCCAGUUUGAAAAGGCUCUUAGCUUAGAUCCCACACCUGUUGAGGCCCAAGCUGCACUAUAUAAUAAAGCUUGCUGCCAUGCCUACCGGUAGUUGUUAUUGUUUUUUUUUUCUAACUUUUGUGUAAAUUGGAUUGCAAUUUUCUUUCAGUUUCUGAUAAUUGACCGCACUAGAAAUGCUUGUUUUGUUUUAAUGUGAUGUUAUUCAACAUUGAAUUGAUUAACGUGCUGAAGAAACUAUAUGACUAUAUGAGUGAUCAAUUUGCUUAUCACAGCUCAAAAUAGGAUGCGAAUUUGAGGGAGACCAUCAGUUAGUUGAUGCCAAUUGUACCUAUAAGUUCUAUUCUUUAUUUCGACUUUCAUAUCAAACCUGAUAAAAAUCCUUCAACUAAGAGGCUGCUGAAGGAUUUUGGUUCUUGAAGUUGUUAUUUCUUCUAUGCAAAUAGCAACUUGUAAGUGUAAAUGUACCUUCAAUCAUUGCUCCAUUUAGCUGAUUAACUUUGUCUUUCAUUCUUGUCUUGAGGAAGAGGGGAAGGAAAGAAAGCUGCUGACUGCCUACGUACUGCUUUGAGGGAAUAUAAUCUUAAAUUUGGUACCAUAUUGAAUGAUCCAGAUUUGGCUUCCUUUAGAGCUUUGCCUGAGUUCAAGGAAUUACAAGAAGAGGUUUUUCACACUAUCUCGGUUUUAUUUCAUGUGCUAAGGAUUUCCUUUUACUGCCUACCUGCCAGAAUAUGGAAAUCAUAUACGUACUUUAUAUCCAAAUCCUAUAUUAUGUUUUCACUACUUGAGCAAGAUGUGUGAGGGCACUAGUGAGAUCUCGUGAUAUUUCAGCUAUUGGCAAUCGAUGAUUGAAAUCCUUAAGCAUCAAGUCUUAUAAUAUAAUGUUAUGUACAGGCUAGGCUGGGAGGGGAAGAUAUAGGAUACAGCUUUCGUAGAGAUCUCAAACUUAUUAGUGAGGUCCAAGCACCAUUUCGUGGGGUUAGGAGAUUCUUUUAUGUGGCAUUCUCCGCGGCUGCAGGAAUUUCAUUGUUCUUUACAAUCCCUAGGCUCUUCCGUGCAAUUAAUGGUGGGGAUGGUGCCCCAGAUCUCGGGGAAACUGCUGGAAAUGCUGCCAUUAAUAUUGGAGGUAGACACUGGAACCUUUUUCUGUAAUACAAGGAAACUAGGCUGUAAUUUAUGUAUAAAGUCAGUGGUGAGCUAGUCUUCUUACCUUUUUAUAGAAUGUCAUCCCCCCUGUCUUCUGACUUGCACUGAGCAUUACUGCACUGAACAUGAUUAUUCACCAGAGGACUUUUAGCUUGCUUCUUAAAAUGACUAAGGUUUUGAAUCAGCGAUCUGCAGGCAUCGUUGUUCUUGUGGGCCUAUUUCUCUGGGACAAUAAGAAAGAGGAAGAACAAAUUGCACAGAUAACCAGAGAUGAAACUCUAUCAAGGUUGCCUUUGCGCCUUUCCACUAAUCGUGUUGUCGAGCUUGUACAGCUUCGGGACACUGUUAGGCCAGUCAGUAUCGGCAACUUCCUUUUCUCCUCUCAAAUUACUUGUGUUAUAAUUUUCUUGGACUUGAAAUUCAACACUUUAACCAAACAUUAUAAAUUGCAUACGCCUACUUAGCUGAAGUAAAGUAUUUUACUGAAUAUAUGAAUUCAGCAGUAAGAAUUAGAUAUUGCUUCAUGAGCAAUUUUAAGUAAUUAUCUGUUUGUUCCUUUACACAUCAAUUAAUAUAGUGCAAUAAUUUUUUUGCUCUGAUGAACUUACUGAAAUGAACCAAGGAAUUAUAAUAACUAAAACAGGACAGACUUUACCAGUCAUCUGAUUAUCUUUCAUCCAUAAAAUUUGAAGCAUCUCAUCAUGUUGGAGCAUUCAAGUCACUAUCUAUCAAUGCCCUUAUUAUGGAUUGGAAUUAGGUAAUCUUGGCAGGGAAGAAGGAGACUGUUUCCAUAGCUAUCCAGAAGGCAGAGAGGUUCCGAACUGAGCUGCUUAGACGAGGUGUCCUUUUAGUUCCUGUUAUCUGGGGUGAAGGGAGAGAGCCAGAAGUGCAGAAGAAAGGGUUUGGUGCUCCUUCAAAGGCAGCUGCUGCUCUUCCUUCUAUUGGGGUAAGAUAUAUUAUUCCUUGGGCUUCUAAGACUAUGUGGGGAAUCAUUACAAAGUACUAGAACUAUUUGUGAUUAUCAUGUGACAUCAGGGAUUGUCAGAAUAGAGGAUUGGUUUCACUUAUAUAAUUUUGAACUUCGUUGAAUGUUGGUUUCAUUCCAUUUUUAACAUAAAAUCUGAUGGCGCAAUGGUAGGAAGAAUUUGAGAAAAGAGCUCAGUCUGUAGUUGCAAAGUCAAAGUUGAAAUCCGAAAUUCGCUUUAAAGCAGAAGUUGUAUCUCAGGUGGAAUGGGAAAGGUCAGUUGUUACUUUAUUGUUAUUAUUGGUCCCUUUGUUUCAAAAUUCAACUUGACAGUGGAGUACUCAAAGGUACAUUAGUGAGAGAAUGCAUAUUAGCAUUCAUUUCUUCUGGUCUCUCACAUUCAUCAUAUUGCUAUUACGCUUAUUUACUUGCUUGAAUGCUUGAAUCCUAAACUAGUACAUUGAGCCAUUAUAAUUAUGAACUUGUUUGUUAGCUUAUAAUAAUAAUCUACCUUAUUAGAUUUAUAGUACAUCCUGGUUGAUAAUAUUUCCACACAUUUUUAGGUGGUUAAGGGAUCAGCAGAAGUCAGAAGGAGUUACUCCGGGUGAGGAUGUGUACAUAAUACUGCGCCUUGAUGGUCGAGUUCGAAGAUCAGGAAAAGUAAGUGCACAUUGUGUCAAAUAAUCAGCUUUUUGAGGGAAUAUUGAAAUAUAUGCUAUUGUUUUAACCCAUUAAUGCUGAGUGAGAUAGUAACGAUUGAAAUUCUUGAAUUCGUCAAUAUUAUUUAAACCUUAGAUUGAUUCAAAAUCUCCACCUUCUCUAAUUAGUUACCCAGCAGUAGCAUUUGAACUUCAUAUAGAAGUUAGAAAAAGACAACUGAACCCAUGCAUGUGCCCUCAUGUUGCCAGUCAUGUUGCUAUAAUGCUGUACAAAACAAAGUAAAAAUCAUUAAUUUUCUUAAAAAAUAUUCAAAAAUUAGGGUGUCAAUAAGACACUGAACAUUUUCUCACGUUCCAAUGUUACUGCAGGGCAUGCCUGACUGGCAACAAAUUGUGAAGGAGCUGCCACCUAUGGAAGCAUUAUUGAGUAAGCUAGAAAGAUAAAAGCUCCUGCUCAGUUCCCAAUUCUUGAAAUAUUUUUUGUUCUUUUUAUUAGUUGUUAUUGGGUAAUCUUCAUACCACUGUUACGAUCGCUCAUCAUACCAUCUCUUUUGAUAUUAGAAGAAGGAAACUUGUUCUCUUGAUCCUUCUCAUUGCUGAGAAAUCCAUUAUAUGUGUGUAUAUAUAUAUAAUAUUGUAAAUUUCACUUUGCAAGAUUAGGUUUUAUGCUUUUGAUGAGAGUUUUCAUAUAUUAUAGAAAACUAAGGUCCCAAAACUCCACGCCAUUUCCAAUUGACCGUUUGUUUUGGAUUCUUGAAAACGAUGCUCUCCCUUUUUUGCAAGAUUUGAGAGCACUAUCUAUCUACAUCAUAAACAAUAUGAUCUCGUUUAUCUGAACAUUUAUUGGUCUGUGCGAAACGGGUCAACUUCCAUAUUUCUUCUUAUGUAAGAUUUCAAAUUCCAAUUUAAGCAAAAUGCACUCCAUCUUCGUAUAUGAAUGAUCUUCCAACCCUUUUUUUUUUUUCGGGAAAAAAUUACGAAAUGCUUUGAGCGGCAAACUAUAAAUAAUAUCAUGAAUGAGGUUUAUAUAUAUUCAGUAAGACUUAAAAAAUCUAGAACACAUCUUAUGGUGGGAUAAGGAAACAUCUCAUAUUUAUAAUUAUAAGCAAGGGCGGAGCUCUAUGGGGGCUGAAGAAGGCCCUGGCCACCCCAAUAAAUUUUUUCGAAAAAGUCCUAUUAAAAAUUACAUUUUGAUCCUUAAAAAUAUAGAAACACUAUAUCUAACCUUUUAAAAGCUUUAAAGAUUUUAUUUGGCUCCUUCAAAAUAAUUGUUCUAACUCCAUCUCCGUUCAGAGGCUUUGACUCGAAGAAAGAUUCACGUACUAUGCAUUAAUCUUUCUGUUGUUUUCUAAGAGGCUAUUUCUAUGGUUCAAAUUUAUAAAAUGCACAUUUUUCUGAGCGCUUGGCAUGAACUUUUAAAACGGUUUUUCAUUAGAAUAAGUUGUAUAAAUACAGCAAGUCUCCUCUUUUCAACACUUCAUUUUUAAUAAGAUUCAAAUUUAAAAAUUCUCAAUAGAGAUUUCACAAAAAGAAGUUGUUUUCUUAUUAAAUUGCAUCAUCUUUUAUGGUCAUCAGAGCAAUUGGCAUGACCUGAACUUGAUUAAAGAUUUAAAGUAAAGAAUUUCAUGAAAUUAAAAUAAUCCUCGUCCUUCCAUUCUUGGGUUAGGUUACACUUAACUAAUAUUAUUCUUGAUUAAAUCAGUAUUAUUAUUAUAAUCCUCGGAAUAGACAGCUAAAGGUUCUUGGACAAAUCCUAGAGAAUAGCUAAAACGUUAACCAUAUAAACAAGAGAAAGAAAAGUAAAUGACAGAUAAAACGUUAACAAUGGCGGAAUGUAAUUCCUCAGUUCAUUUGAUCGCUUUGUGCAUAUUCUUCUCACUUCUGAUCACCAUCUUCUCAUCAUCCACAGUUGAAGCAACCGGAGAGAGUAAGCUGAGCUGGAUUCCGACUAGAAGAGGACAAUGGGAAGGGUCCAUAGCGGAGUGCAUAGGCGAAGAAGAAUUGGACAUGGACUCUGAGAUACACCGGCGUAUUCUCCAGACGACACGGUACAUAAGCUACGCAGCGCUGCAGAGAGGAUCAGUGCCAUGUUCUCAUAGAGGUGCAACUUACUACAAUUGUCAACCAGGUGCAGAGGCUAACGCCUAUACUCGCGGUUGCAAUGCCAUUACUCGUUGCCGUCACAGAUAGAUGAUUUAUUAUUUGCAAGGGAAUUUGUUGCUUCUUCUGUAUUAUUAUGAUGUUACUUUUAUAAAUCCUAGUAAUUAAUUAUCGUUUUACGAAUUUCAGUAUGAUUUGAUAUACGAAAAUGAUCACCGGAUUUCUUGAUCAUAGACUUGCAUUAAUAAAAAAAAAUAAGCAGCUGGCUGCUUUUGACUGUGAGGUUGAUCGAGUUUUUGGAUUUCCAUUUCAUUUUUUUUGGAGAAAUUUUCUGUCUCUAACGUUUUCACGUGGAGUAGAUACCACUAAUUGUACAUUGAAGGCGUCAACUGUAAAAGUGCCUCACCGCCGACUGUCAUCUGUGUCAUCUUAUUUUUCAAUUUUUAAUUUUGUAACAAAUGAAUAAUAAUAAUCGAAUAGUAUUGAAAAAUACUAACAAAUUUCAACGAAAAAAUUCUUAUACUUAUUCAAAAAAUUAUAAGAAAAUAAAAAAUAAUUUGGUUGUAGAUGAUUUUACAAUUUUUUAAAAAUAAAUUCAAACAGUACUACCAUAAUAUAUGGUUUCACAAUUUUUUCUUUUUCACGAUUUGAAUCACAGCAUUUCAGCCGAUUACACUACAGCUGAGGCUGGAGAAAAAUUGAGGAAAAAUUGCUCCAACUGUAUCGGAAUGAAAGUAACCUAUAGUUUUUCUGUUGGUAAGUUACAUAUAUUAUGUAAUCAUAUCGAAAAGCAAAACAUUGUCUCAUCGGACAACCUCAAUGAAAAUGUGAACAGGGAUCAAUGACCAUGAAUCAACUCAGAUUUCUAAGUUUUCCUCUACAACAGCAGCGGAAGCAAAUUCCCAUAGAGAUUCUAAGAGAAACAUAAAUUUUGAUAUUCCAGAAGCAGAAUCGAAACAUUGUAAUCACCGAUUGUGAACACAAAUUUUGACAUCUCAAACCAUAAUAGAAGAAAACAAAACUCAGGAUGAAAUAAACUUGUCUGCCACAAGACAAAUGAACUUGGAAUAAUUCUAAGCUGAAUCUUCCUCUUGCUUCUCUUCACCUGGCUGCUUUUGCUUAGAUGGAGGCAAAGGAGAUGGAGAGCCCUCCACCCCCAUCUCUGCUCUCAAGUCAUUUAUACUCUGCUCCAAGUCGUUUAUGCGACUUCCCAUCUCAUCGAGUGCAUUGAAGUUAAGAAAACAAAUAAUCUUAUAAAUUUUAAUCAAUCAUACUGCUAUACAAAGCAAAUAUAUUUUACUUCAAAGUUGCUCAAUGACAAGCACUGACAUUUUUGAAAACCCAAAAAACUAGAGACAUAGCUUAAGAAAGUUCAUAAUCAGAUUAUUCCCAUCAAAAUACUUCUUGUAAGAAUGUUGACUCAAACCCAUAUUAUGUCAAAGAUGAAGGCUGAUAUCAACCAUUCUGUUGAAAACUUUCAACUACAUGUUUAAUUAAUUUCCAAGAUAAUAUGAAGCCAGAAAUAGUGAAAAUCUCAGGCGAGAAUACUAUAAAAUAUUUUCCUUAUCAUGUAUGCAGGAUCCAUCAAUUUCAAUGCCGUAGCAAUUUAAUGCAAGCAUAUUCUAUUAUAGACUUUUUAAACAAACAGAAAGGAUAUUCUUUGUAACAAUGGAGUCAGACAUUGUUUGGAACCUGGAUUGCUGCAAGCAAACUUAAAGUCAGUAACAGUAGCACAAACAAAAAACAAGAUGUCUGAGUACAAAUAAUAACUCUACCAUCUGCUGAAGAAGAUUCUGCACCUGAAAAGUUGAUGCAAACGAGUCAACAUUACAGAUAUCAAAAGAAAAGCAUAAACAACCUCAAGCAAAACCAAAACAUGCUCAGCAGGCAAUGAUCUAAUAAAUGUUAGCAUAAGAUAAACAAGAUGGAUUUGAAUAAUUUAAUGAAACCACGGCAUCAAAUGCCAAACCUCAGUUUGAGUUUGGACUGUGAUCUAAUUUCAUCAGUAAUUAGACUUAACACAGAAUGUUUGCCACAGGAAGGAAUCCCCAAAGACGGGUUCCUCCAAAUUAUUAAUAGAAGAAUUAAGUAAUAACAGGAAUCAGUCAGUAUUGAAAAUGUCAAUAAACUCACAAACGCAGUCAUAUCAGCUGUGCUCUGCUUCGGAUCUUCUGAAUCAUGUCCAUCCUGCAAAAGCAAAAAUAAAUUAAAAAAAAAACAAUUAAAUCACACGCAAAACCAAGAUACUAGAAUGCAAGACAAGGAAACAGGGAUAGACGGUUAUAAAGAUAAUUGUAUUAAAAAUUUUGGUAGAAUUUUAAACGACGGACUCAGAAUUGCCAUUAACAGCUAAAUCAUACGAUUUUAUGCCUCGAAAACAGAAAAAAAAAAUCAAAAUCUCAGAAUGAAAUUUAAACUAAUACGAAGACUGAAAUGAUCUAAAACAAGCAUGAGAAUGUGCAUUUCUAAUUAAAUUGAUUCUCGAAAGUUGAAACCCUAGCGGUCCUAAGAUAUGGAAAACCAAACAAUUUACUCAAAACGGACCACAAAAGCAUUACAACAGAGUUUGAUGAUCGAUUUUAAGUAAAACCAGCAGAAAAGAUCUUCACCAUUGUUUGCUAGCUGAUCUCUAAUUUCCGCUGCUUUGCUCGGCCGAUAUUGUGCAAUUCCUGGGGAGCGUUUGGUGGAGGAGUAGGAAAUGAAUGGAUCACGCAUAUACAAGCUUGGCCGUGGGCAAUCCUUUUGUUCCCCAAUCCAAAAUUAUGUCCCGCAUUUACCAAUAUGCCAUUGUUCGUUUUCAAAUUUUGAACUUCAAAAUUUAAAGUUUCCUUUCCUUUUGCGUUUUUGCUUUUUUUUUUUUUUAUAAAUGGAAAUAUGGUUAAGCUCAGCUCAAAAGCAAUAAUCAUAGCACCGUAUCAGUAUCAUUGCAAUUUUUAAUAUUGAAGACUAAUUCGGCAAAUAUGAAUAUAGACAAAAAAGAAUACUGCCCUUUUUUUUCCUAAUCCCAUAUAAUAUAAUUAUGAAAUUUAAAAUUAUAUAAUACUUUUUGAAGAAAAAAUUAUAUAUUACAACAGCGCAUUUCGUUUUAAUUAUACAAUUAUAUCAAUCAGAUUUGCAUUAAUUUAUUGUAUGCAGACUGCAACCCUUUUUUCUUGACCUUUUUGAAAAAGAAGUUUUUUUUUUUUUUUUUUUUUAAGAAAAAUCAUCUCCUAAACUUGAAGGAGGAUACUUCUGUCUUUUCGUUGCGUAGAUCAAAACCCCAGGUAGCAUUUGAAAAAUAAUCAACAAAUAUUUUAUGCAAGGAAUUGAGGCGCAAUUUUUAUUCAAAAUUUCAAAUGAAGAUGUGAAACUCAAUCUAAAAAAUAAAAGAAAAUGCAGUCGAGAAUUACUCAUCAGUUUCCAAAAUCUAUACCUUUUCUCUCUGUUUUGCUGGUCAUUGAUAAGUAUUUUGUAUAUUCAGUUAAAAAUUGAACAGAAGUUACAUCUAUUAAGUAAAAAAAAAAAAAAAAAAAGAAGAGCCCUUUAUCUGUCCUUCCCUCUAGUUGAUAAUUUAUCCUCCACAUAAGGAUAUUUAGAUGGAGCAGACCAUAAACCCCAGAGGAUAACUAAAUGUAGACAUAAAAGCAGUGCAGAUGAAUAAAUAUUUGAAGGAUAAACAUUCCAGCAAAACUCCACUCCUAAAAACAGAAGCAAACUGCACAAGAAAAAAUCAAUUUUAAAAAUAAUAAUAAUCAUAGUAAUAUAAAAAAUUCAUAUAAUGAUUAAUUAUUAUAGAAUGUGCAGCAAAAUGCAAAAGCUACCGCAGCAUUGUAGGGUAAGGUGUUCUCCACAAAAGAUAAGGCAAGCUAUAGAAGUACCUGCAAUAGCAUAAAUACAAUGAAAUUAAAAGAAGUCCAAGAUUAUCUCCAAACAUAAGAUUCCAAUUGUCUAUGUUUGUACUUCUUAUUUCUCUUAUUAGAAUGUUAUGAUGUUCUUAAACUAUGUUUAUCAAUGAAUUGCCAAUUUUCUAAGAAAGGAAAAAGUCCAAAUUGUGAGAUUCAAAUUGUUUAGCCAUAUAAUAUUGGAGUCAUGACCACAUGAUGCACAUGCAUAUAUAUCAUCUUUACAAGUUUUCUGUUUUCACGCUCGCAGAUACAACACCAAUCAUAAUUAUCAAUAUACACAUUUUAAAGAAAAAUGCAACAUGGUUGUAAGGAUUCCAAUGAUUAAUAAGAAAUGAAAAAUAAAAUAAAAGGAAGAAUCAGAAUAAGGAAAAAAAUCAACAAUGAUUAAGAAUAGAUUUUAGUAAUAGGCAAAGCUUCAAUAUCAUAUGGAGAGGAAACAAUCUAGUUGCUUAGCAUAAAGAGCUAAUAGCUAGAGAGAGUACAUCACCAUCAAAAUGAAGAACAAACAUUGCUCACAGAUAAUGUUCAAUUAAGAUUAGCGGCCUUGACAUAUUGCAACCAGUGCUUUAGACCCACAAUCAGUGAUCCAUUUGCCAGAUAAUGUGGAGCAGUAUUACCUGUUUUAUUUCUGUUUAAAGUCCAAGAGAUAGUACAGACAGCUUUCUACUUAGACAUAGAAAACCGCAUCCAACAUGUGCAAUCUAAUGGUAACUAAAAGUAUCUAAGCUAAGCUUUCAUAAAAAUUUUCCCCACACACCAACUGAAUUAUAUUAAAGAAAUAAGCACCAGACAUGCCCCGCCCUUGUUGGUUGGGAACUUCAUAGGCAAUUGUUUCUAUUUUAAUUAGCCAAGGGAUCCACAAAUGGUUGGAUUUGUACAUGGAAAGAUGAACGAGUGUAUAUGCAGUUGGAUGGAAAGAAACAAGAGAUGAGGGUUCCAUGACAGGGACAAACAACACAAACAGACGCAGACAAGCAUGAAAGCAACAAAAGAUAAAAACAAGCAAAACCAAGAGUUGUGUUAGCAGACAUUACCAUGAGUAGAACUGAUAAUGCAGAGAUCGGGCACAUAUAAUGCCAAUGAAAUUCCCCACAAACAAAGUUGCCACAAUAUCUGAAUUAAUCUGACCAAGAUCAGUAUACAAGACAAAGAAAAGAGAAAGAGAUAGGGAACAUUAAAUAGAGUAAGCAAUAAAGUGAAAAUAUUUCAAGCUAUACUCAUAAUUAUAGUCCAGGAUAAUUAAAACUCACGUUCUUCAUUGAGAAUCUUAAUGGAUAAACUGCUAGAACUCAUAAGAGAAGAUGACUGCUUAGUAGAUAUGAAUCUAGAAUGCAAAAAACUAAAAAGUCCUCCUUCAUGCCUGCAAGUGACCAAAAACAACAAAUAAGCAACUUCAACUGAAGCCACUGAUUUUUCUAAAUUCCAGGAAGCAUUUCUAAAAUCACAAAGAGCAAUUAGCACCAUACUUUGUUAUCUUCAUAGCUUCUUAGAAAAUUUUUUAUUAUCAUAGGAAAAUGCAACAAAUCCAUAACUCCACCAAUGCUUUGCACAUGAUGAAUUCCUAGUCAGAAAUAAAAUUGAAAGAAUGGGCAACUUACUUGCACCAUUUGUAGUGGGCAAAAGCUGCAAGCAAUCCGAGGUGAGCAAGCAGCAGUAAGAGUGCAAAUUGCUUUGAUACGAAAACUGGUUCGGGGACAAACUUGAAGUUCACGGACCUGAUGGAAAACAUUGAAAAAUGACCAUCAUGGAAGGGUAUCAUACAAAAGCCUCAUAUGAUGACGAACAUUAAAGUACCAGUAUAUGCUCCCACGAUCUCUCUAACUGUAAAAUAUUGAGCUACAAUACAUUCUAGCAACAUUAUGAUUGAGAUGACACAACAUAGAUUAAUCAAUACAAUUAUGGACCACGAAGUGAAGAGGAUCCCAGAGGACAGGGCAGUUGGAAUGCUAUGCGCUACCUAUUAAAUAGUAUACGCUUCAGCAGCCCAUGACAUCAACAUCUAUUUAUUAUUAGUAUGCUACAGCUCCUUAAUUGAUUAUCACCUGAAAGAGAGGAGGUUCUAAUCCUGAAUUUCCUAGACUCAAGUUAUACAGCAGGAUUAAACAAUUGUGCUCUCCAUCUUUUCUCCCCAAAUUUGUGAUAAUAAAGGACAAUAAAAAGUGAACCAAUCUUUUUACCAUUUAAAACAACGCAGAAAAAUAUGCAUCCUUACAUGAAUACCUUGCAGUCCAAAUUUAACUUCUUUACAGGAUUGUAGCAGAUCUUGGACGUAAAUGAAUAUAUUGUAAGAGAAAUACGAAGGAUAAAAAUAGGUCCUCGCUCAUUUUCCAUUGGCUGGAACUAAUCUCCCUUCUAGUAACUAAUUCAAGGAAAGGUCCUUGAGCACACGUUUAAAAUCAAACUUCAGGAAAGAUUACCUCUAUUGGUCAAAUGUGUGAUGAAAAUUGGUGAAUAUGAACCACAUACAUACACUCAAAUCUCGUAUUCUUUCAAAAAAACUGUCUAGUAUUUAUAAUUUUUUAAACAUUUCCAUUAAAAAAAAAAAAAAAGAAAAAAAAAAAAAGAAAACCUCAGUUUUCUUUAGUUACUUUUAACUAAAAGAUGAAAUUAACUUAUGUGAAGAAAUAUGAAGUACCAAAAGUGGAUGAAGACACGCCCAAGGUUGAAUGCUCUUGAUAUAUAUGCAAUCGGAUAGGAGACUAAAAAGGGCAGCCCCAAUAGAAUCUGCAGAACCAUUCAUCAAGCAUGUGGAAAUGAAUGAACUAUUGCUAACAUAACGCCCUCUUCACAACAUAAAUUUCAGUGCAACUCCAUCUCACCUAACAAAAUUGGAAAAGAAAUUAAAACAUAUGCUCUCUGAAUUCAGACACUAUAAACAUUGUAAGUAAUUUUAUUUUUUUAUGGCAAAAAUCAAAAAGAAUUUGACAUGCAUUCCAUGCCUGCAUAGAAAAGAAGCUUUCCAGGGGAUAAAAGUUGAUUGGUACCUGCACUAGCGCUGCACCAGCUAAAGCCAAUACCACUCCGGUAAUAUCCAUGGCCUGUAAAAAGGUGUUUGCAAGAACAAGGAAUACUAAUUGAGAAUUGCAAUACAUAACUAUAAUACAAAAAUUAAGAUAUUUAAAUAAUUGAAUGUUAAUGUACCUUUAACAUAAGGAGUAACAAAGGUGGAGCAUAAAGAAGGACAUUCAUCUUUAUUGAAACAGCACCACUACACAAAUAAGAAUCAAGUUAUACUAUCUUAAUUUAAUUAAACAUCUUGCUGUGAGAAAGUAUACGUCACCUGAAAAGAAUCAGCCCCAGAUACCACCGUUGGCAAAGAAGCAAGGCCAAUGUAGCGUGGAGAAGUGUCAUUGCAAAACAAUCAUUAAAGAGACGCAGCACAAAGAUUGAGUGCAUUCUUUUUGAGAGGCAAAGCAAGAUAAGAGCCCACCAUGGAAGCUGCAAGAAAUUUCAUAGAAAAAACCUCGACUUAUCAAGGUCAAGACUAACAACAGAAGCAAAACUGGCAAAGAGUGUCCAACAACAAUGUAAAAAGCAAAACUGUCAUACCACAUCAGUUUUCACGUAGAUGAAUAAGAUGAUACCCAGAUUAAUGAUGUAUAACAUGCCAAACAAUAUCUGCAACCACAGAGUAACUAGUCACUAUGAGGUGAUAAUUUAUAGAACAUACUUGUUGCACACACAUAUAAAAGCAUGCAAGGAACAAUCUUAACAUGCGACAUUACAAAACUUAAGUGAUGAAAAACAGACAGGAAAAUUAACCCGAUCAAUGAUGUAGACUAGGCCAGCAUUUAGUCAAAGAUGCAUUGACCAAACCUCUAACUAACAAUCAGUCCCUAAUUUCAACUUUAGGCAGCAGAAGUCCAAUUAAGCCAGACCAAUACUCGUUCAAAAUUUAGUGUUCAAUGAGAUGUACAAACAUCAAUUUCAUCCUGGUGGUUAAAAAUCAUACCCUGAGAAACAGUUAUUAAUGGUCCAAGUUCUCUGAGAAAUGAACAAAAUGAUAGCGACCUAGAUUACCUGAGCUGGAUAGACGGCCCCUCCUGUAACAUACUGAAUGGCUGAGUAUAUAUAUAGAAACCCAGCUGGGUAUACUAGUGGCCCGGUGUCACCCUUCAAAUUGCUGUAGUCCCUUUCUCCUUGAAGAAAACCAGUAACCUGUUCAUUAAUCAGACCAAUUUGUAUUACUGCAUUCAUUUCCAACUAAAAAUUAAAGCUGACCAGAAAGCAAUAUUAGCUAAUGAAGCGUUUGAACACUGGAAAACUAACGAAAUCAUAAACCAAAUAAAAAUUUAUUAGUUUCGCUAAAAAAGCAACAAAUUUCCCAACGAUAGCAAGAAAUGCAAAUUUUAUCGCAUAAUGCACCUGUGACAUGUAUGCGUCCCAGUCAAUCUUUGUAUCUGAAAAUCAAUCAAAUAGUGAUAUUGUCACAAAAAUACUAAUUUACAGAGAGAUAAGAAUAUUGAACGAUGGAGAUGUAGAGUCGUUGAUCUUACAAGGAACGUAGGCAAUGAUAAAAGCGGUGAGGAAAGCAUCCACGAAAAUUAAAGCCAAAGCGACGGCUACCUUCGGAUUUUUCAAAAAUUUGGCUGCCAAAGCCUUGGGUCUUGAGGACGAUUUCACCUUCCUUGCUGAUUUAACUGCCAUAGAUUAGCUUCGGCUCUCUCUGUCUCGGUUAUGAUUGAGAACAAUGAAGAACCAGUUGAUAUGAAUUUGUUUUCUAGUCACAUGAGCUAAAAGAAGAAAACACUUAUUCUCGCCUGAGUAAUUAGAUUGCGGCGAAGAAAAACUCCGGUAUUAGGAAUUAGAUCUCAAAAACCCUGAAAAUCAGUGACGGUAUGUCAGUGUCGAGAAACAAGUUGCCUUUGUUGUAACAGCCAAGGCAUUUACGUAAACGACCUGCAGUUUCGUGUAACAGACAUGAGACUACUAUCAAAGUUGAACGCCGUCGUUUCUUGUGUGUGAACGACAGAAUUUAUCAGAUCCGGACGAUCAGUUACUGCCUGUUAUUGCUCCAGACAAAUUAGAGAUCGUUUCAACAGUAAAUCAGUAACAAUAGAGAACCAGUCAACCAUUAAAUAGAACACGCUGUCGUUUCUUUUGCACGAACGAAGGAUUUAUCGGAUCAUGUCGAUAGAUACAUUUUUUCUUUUUUUUCUUUUUUUUUUUUUCUCUCUAAUGUUUUGCAGGCUUACUUUUGAGAAAGCCACAGCUAUAAAAACAGGAUUUCAAGAAUUGGGAUAUCAGAUUGAGAAAUUAAAAGGAUUUUUUAAGUUUAUUAAUUUGAAAUUAAUCAUUUUAAUAAAUUAUUACUAAAUUAUACUCCUGAUUUCCAACAGUUUAUCCAAACCCGCCCGUCCGCCCGCCCGCGGCGAAAGGCUCAGGCCUUAUCUAGCUAUCAUGGAAGACACAGGUGUGAUACAACUUGAAGUCCACGUGUAAUCACUGCACAGUACUUUCCAUUCCAUUAAUUAAUUAAUCAUUUGAGCCACCAAAGCACAAACAACAAGGACCAUCUUGAAGACUUGAGCUAGAAUUUAGAACAUGCAAGUAAUGUGAAUGCCCGAAUGACCAAGUCCCCAUGUUUCUCUGCAUUGCUGGCACUUCUCUGCCACACACGUGUAACCUUCCCACGUGUCAUUCAUUUUCCCACCUCCCAAACACAACACUCAGAAAAACACGCUCUCUUCUAUAAACACGCUUACUCCCUCAAAUUCCUCCCGCAACACACAUUCACUUUCUCUCUCUCUCAAAUAUCGGUUAUGGAUUCUCAAAACAUCACACACCGUACCAGAGACGCAGACGAACCCGCCACCGCCACCGCGAAUAGAGAUAUGAAAACUAGGCAAGACAAAAGAAUGGCUAUGGCCAAACGCGGUAUAAGAUCACUAGCCAUUGCGGUUGCGCUUCCUCUCUCUUUGACACUAUUUAACUUCUAUUUCUUCGGCUCUAGUAAUGGAUAUGGGAUCGCAUCAAAACCCUCAUGGUUUCCUCCUAUAUGGGCUCUACAUUUCUUCUCCUUCGUUUCGACUUUCUUGAUGGGUCUGUCCGCUUGGCUCGUUUGGGCUGAAGGAGGGUUUCAUAAAAAACCAAGGGCUAUUUCUCUUUACUUGGCUCAGUUAGGUUUGGGUUUGGCUUGGGACCCGAUUGUGUUCCGGAUGGGAGCUACUUGGGUCGGGUUGCUUGCUUGCUUGGCUAUGUUUGGAGCCAUUGUUGGGUGUUCACGCCAGUUCAAAGAGGUGAAUCCCAUUGCUGGAGAUUUGGUUAAGCCUUGUUUGGCCUGGGCUGCAUUUUUAGCCAUUGUAAAUCUUAAGCUCGUAUUUCUUUGAAGUGGAGGCUACAAGGGAAAGGGGAUAUGCUGUUGAUACUUGACGGUGUUGUAACCAUAUCCGCGAAUCCAACAGAAAGAUAGACCUGUAAAAUGUUUUGCCUUGUGUUUUUUCUUUCUUUUUUUUUCGGGUUAAAUUAAGUUUUUCUUUUCAUCUUUUUUUUUUGUUUUUCCUUUUCUGGGUCUUAACCAUGUACAUGCUAUAUAUGGUAUCUGUCAAUCUGUGUUAGAAAGGAUUUUGUUGUUAUUGUAAAAAGAUCUUUAGAAAUGUCAUAAGUAUAACUUUUUCUAUUCACUGUCAAAGGGAAAAUCACAAGCAUACAAUAAAGAAAUUCACAAUUGCGCCAAACUAAAUCUUGCCAUUCUACUAAAGAAAAAAAAAAUCACACAUCACCCACCUGGCUACUCAACGCGGCAAAGCUUUCUCAGGGUUAUGGACGUUCUCCUUUUCUGGUUUAAUUCCUGCCCCUCCCACAUUUGAAUCCCUGGCUUGCGAUUAAUCUCAUGCUUCCAGAGGUAGCGAGCCUCCCCACACAAUAGAACAAGUGAUCCAGGAGUCAAGCAAACAGGAACUCUCGACAUGGGUUCAUUCUUUUCUUCAUUUCCAUCGUCAGAAACUUCUCCAACUUGUGUGAAAUGCAUCACGCAUGAUGACUCCAGGGAGACAAUUGCUAUUCCAUCUUCAAAGCGCAACAGGUCAACAUGUGCACAAAUCCCCUGCGGAUGUAAGAGUCAAGGCAUUGAAAGGCAAUAUGCAGAGGAAGGAAGCUUCUCAAUUCAUCCCCACAGAACUUGCACUACAUUGCAAAUAUUGAUCUAAAACAAGAUAGUCAAAGAUGCAAUCAGGAUAUCCCAAUUGCUAAAAUGGAAAGCAACAGAUCAGUGGACGCAAAGCGAGCAUUGCUGACGAUCUGAUUUGAUGGUUUAAGAACUCAUUUCUCUUGGUUAAUAUCAAGGGAUGUAAGACGUUAGUUGAUGCAUAACAAAGAAAAACAUUCGUGUCCAAAGACAUCUUACAGUAAAGAAAAUUUAAAUUUAUGUCGUCUACCUUUAGGAUGGUCUAUAACAUAAGGUAACUAGUUUGCAGUUUUGCGCUAUCACAGCUACACUUGCUAUCAAAAAAUACUAGAAGUUAAGUACAUACAUGACUGUCAUUGUAUCCAGUUUUCUUCCUUUUGGAGUAUCAUAUGAAGAAAUCUAAUCCUCAUGCCAUUUCCAAAAGAGACUAGAAAUUUAGUGACAAAUCAAGCAGAGACAAGGAAAUAAUCAAAUAUUCAAAUAUCAUUAUGAAAACAUCUGAUGCAAUCAUGGACUUCAAGAAGUCCUGCUUAAUAGAAAAGGAGAAGCUAAAAGUUUCUUGUAUACAAUUUAUGUGAACUACGAACAUGGUUAAACUGAGAGGGCUAUAUCGCACCUCACCUGGUUGGUAUAUGUUUACAAUUAGUUGAUCAAAUAGUGGCUCCCUCCAGAACAAAUUUGGUGGCAGAAAAAGGGUGUCUUUGUCUCCACCAUAGCUAACUGAUUCUGCAGAUUCGGAAACCUGAUCACCAAAUAGCACCACUUCACGAAUAGAAUUAGAAAGUUCAAUGGCCCAGGAUGGGAGAUCUCCAAACCUCAUAGCCUGCAAGGAACAUCAUAAAUACAUAAAACCCUACAAUGAAUAUGAUGACUGCAAACAACCAGCAUUGUGUAAGACCAAGUUAUACUUUUGGGGAAGGGCUGAAUCGCAUAAUUUUUUAAAUAAAACUGCAUACUAUAGCAUAUAUCAAUCACUUUGAUUCACCAACUGGCAAAUAAACCAUACUUACUGUUUUCCACCAUGUCUAGGCCUAGCUCAUUAUACACCUAGUAAAUUUCAGAAUCAUGAAAACAGAAACAAGCGUCUGUUUUAACUAAUUUAACAAAAAAAGAAAACAAUCAUAAGCACCCAUUCAUUUAUUAUAGUGAAAACUAAAAGAAAUUGUCAAUCCAAGUUCACGAUCAUUUCGAAGAAGGACCUGAUUGUUAGAGGCCUCUGAGAACCAUCCCUCUGCACCCACAGAUUAGACAAUUGAAAAUUGAUUAUGCUCUAGCCUCUACCUAAUGAACGAGCAGAGAAAAAUAUCUAACUGAAAGCAGAAUGCAGUGAAAUAAAACGCACCCUUUUGAAUAGAGAAAAGCAGGGCAUUUUGCUGCUGAGGAGACAGGAAGUCUCUAAGCAACCAUAAACCUUUAAUUUCCUUUACUGGUUCCCAGUUUAGGGUUUGAUCGAUGGUUAAGUGAGACCCACCGCCGGAAAAUAGCGAAUUUUUUGGUUUUUGUGGCCGCUCGUCGUCUUCGCUCUCCGAUGACUCGCCAAACACUUCUGAGAGAAGAGUCUUUUGAUCAUCUAUUUCCAUUGAGUGGAUAUCUAACAAGCAUUCCUCGAUUUUUAGCUUUGUUUUGGAUGUUUUGGUCAACUUUUAUUUGAAAAUUAAACAUUCCUUUAAACGAGAUGUCGCUUAAACUCUCUUGCUUAAGUCCUUUUCGCGAAGUCAGUGAACGAUCGCUCGUCUCCGUGUCUGUCAUUGAACGACAGGACGUAGCUCAUGCAUUAUACUGCUGUCAAAUUUAUUUCAACUUUGGUCUUGAGAAAAAUAAUUCAAAAUUUUAUUUUCAAAUUUUCUCCGACAAGUUAAAUAUUUUUUAGAGUAAUUUUUUUAAAUAGAAAAUCUUAAAAUUCUAAUAGUGAGUUCUCUAUUCACGGUAAUUUGGGAUUCUCCCUUGAUAUUUACUUUAUUAGUCAAGCACAACAGAAACACCAAAACCUUAUGGUGGCCUAAAUAGCAGAGUCCAAAGCCGACUAGAUCCUCUUAAGAGCAGGUGAUUUUGUUUCUGAAACAGUAUAAACAUUCUAAAUAACAUUACUCAUACUUUAUUUUAUUCCUGAAUAUAAGUAAGUGAUAAUAACUACAAAUGGUGCAGAAAAUUGGGAGAAAAAAAUAACUCAGUGACCAAGAGGGGUGGACCCGGAUAGCCAACAACAACUUGAUAAAACCUCGUCCCUCGUGCCACAACGAGGUGCAUAGUGAUCCGUGCCAUGCACAGGACAUUUACUUUUCAUCACUCAUUCCUCGACACGUAACGGUAACAGCGCCAUAGAACAUUGUCACGUAUGUAUAAAUUUUUACAAGCAUCACUGGAGCAAUCAACGCCCUCCACGUGGCAAGCACAUGACAGGUGUUUCAUACAGGCUUGAUAUGAACCGUCCACUUAACCCAACGACGAAGUUAAAAUUCGGAUUGAAUUAAAAGUGUUGACCCUUUUGACUUAUCCACAAUUAUUAGAAUCGCUAUAAAAGAGGACUCUUGCAACAUUCAAUAUCAUUGAUUCCAAGCUUUGAUUCGGAAAUUUACACUGGUUAGCUUUUUCAGAGGAAAGUUGCAGAAGGUGUUACGAAACAGAGGGUAAUGGCGGAAGCUGAAGUGAAACAACAAACAGAAACGGUACGCAGUGUGUGUGUGUGUGUUUUUUUUAUUUUUUUUUCUUUGUGCAUGUUGGCGCGUUUUAGGGUUUUUAUUGAUUUGUUUAGUGUUAUUCCAUUGAAGGUUCAAGAUAAUGAUACGAAACUCAAGUAUUUAGAUUUCAUUCGAGUGGCAGCGAUCUAUCUUAUAGUUUGUUUCUCAACCAUAUAUGAAUACGCAAAGGAAAACUCUGGUCCACUAAAACCGGGUGUACAGGCCGUUGAGGGCACCGUCAAAACAGUGAUCGGACCGGUUUACGAUAUGUUCCGUGAUGUUCCUUUUGAACUUCUCCGAUUCGUCGAUCAUAAGGCUAGUUUUCUUGGAUUAAUCCUGUCUACUUGCUGAGAUAUACUCUAUAUUGUGCAAUAUCGUAUUGAUUUGAAAAACUCAUCUUUUCAGGUUACCAACACCCUGAGCGAGUUGGAUAGGUAUGUACCGUCACCGGUGAAGCAAGCGUCAAGCCAAGCUCGAUCCAUGGCUUCUGAGGUUCAGCGCGCUGGGGUGGUGGACGCAACGAGGAGCAUUGUAAAGAUAAUGUAUUCACAGUAUGAACUGACGGCUAAGGAGUUGUAUUGCAAGUACGAGCCGGUGGCUGAGCAUUAUGCGGUGUUGGCCUGGAGGUCAUUGAAUCGGCUUCCUCUGUUUCCUCAAGCAGCACAGAUUGUAGUCCCUACUGCCGCUUACUGGUCUGAAAAAUACAAUCAAGCCGUUUGUCAUACAGCAAAUAGAGGAUAUACAGCGGCGACGUAUUUGCCGUUGAUCCCAGUCGAUAGGAUUACUAAGCUUUUUGAUGAAAGCGUGAAUGGGCCCAACGGCUCAAUCAGUGGAGAAAGGAUCACGGCCCAGUGAAAGCUAUUUGUUUUUCGGUCUUUUUUUUCUUUUUUUUUUUUUUAAUAAUAAAAAAAAAAAAAAAAAAAAAAAAAAACGUCGUUAAUGCUNNNNNNNNNNNNNNNNNNNNNNNNNNNNNNNNNNNNNNNNNNNNNNNNNNNNNNNNNNNNNNNNNNNNNNNNNNNNNNNNNNNNNNNNNNNNNNNNNNNNNNNNNNNNNNNNNNNNNNNNNNNNNNNNNNNNNNNNNNNNNNNNNNNNNNNNNNNNNNNNNNNNNNNNNNNNNNNNNNNNNNNNNNNNNNNNNNNNNNNNNNNNNNNNNNNNNNNNNNNNNNNNNNNNNNNNNNNNNNNNNNNNNNNNNNNNNNNNNNNNNNNNNNNNNNNNNNNNNNNNNNNNNNNNNNNNNNNNNNNNNNNNNNNNNNNNNNNNNNNNNNNNNNNNNNNNNNNNNNNNNNNNNNNNNNNNNNNNNNNNNNNNNNNNNNNNNNNNNNNNNNNNNNNNNNNNNNNNNNNNNNNNNNNNNNNNNNNNNNNNNNNNNNNNNNNNNNNNNNNNNNNNNNNNNNNNNNNNNNNNNNNNNNNNNNNNNNNNNNNNNNNNNNNNNNNNNNNNNNNNNNNNNNNNNNNNNNNNNNNNNNNNNNNNNNNNNNNNNNNNNNNNNNNNNNNNNNNNNNNNNNNNNNNNNNNNNNNNNNNNNNNNNNNNNNNNNNNNNNNNNNNNNNNNNNNNNNNNNNNNNNNNNNNNNNNNNNNNNNNNNNNNNNNNNNNNNNNNNNNNNNNNNNNNNNNNNNNNNNNNNNNNNNNNNNNNNNNNNNNNNNNNNNNNNNNNNNNNNNNNNNNNNNNNNNNNNNNNNNNNNNNNNNNNNNNNNNNNNNNNNNNNNNNNNNNNNNNNNNNNNNNNNNNNNNNNNNNNNNNNNNNNNNNNNNNNNNNNNNNNNNNNNNNNNNNNNNNNNNNNNNNNNNNNNNNNNNNNNNNNNNNNNNNNNNNNNNNNNNNNNNNNNNNNNNNNNNNNNNNNNNNNNNNNNNNNNNNNNNNNNNNNNNNNNNNNNNNNNNNNNNNNNNNNNNNNNNNNNNNNNNNNNNNNNNNNNNNNNNNNNNNNNNNNNNNNNNNNNNNNNNNNNNNNNNNNNNNNNNNNNNNNNNNNNNNNNNNNNNNNNNNNNNNNNNNNNNNNNNNNNNNNNNNNNNNNNNNNNNNNNNNNNNNNNNNNNNNNNNNNNNNNNNNNNNNNNNNNNNNNNNNNNNNNNNNNNNNNNNNNNNNNNNNNNNNNNNNNNNNNNNNNNNNNNNNNNNNNNNNNNNNNNNNNNNNNNNNNNNNNNNNNNNNNNNNNNNNNNNNNNNNNNNNNNNNNNNNNNNNNNNNNNNNNNNNNNNNNNNNNNNNNNNNNNNNNNNNNNNNNNNNNNNNNNNNNNNNNNNNNNNUUUUUUUUUUUUUUAAUAAUAAAAAAAAAAAAAAAAGACUCCGUAUAAGUUAUAAGGGCUAGAAAUUUGAUUGAGCAACGGAACUUUUGAAUUUUGAUAUAAGGUUUUUUUUUAAUUGUUUUGUAAGUUGCAUCGCCUCUGCAGUUGUUAUCAAAUUUUUUGAAGUUUUUUUAGAGCGCCAGUGGAGGACUUUUGUGGAAUUCAUGAAACAUCAAUUUGAUCAUAUAAUUAUAAUUUCAUUUCUUUUAUACAGUAGGGAACAUAUUAAUUAGCUUCUGAGAUUGGUUCCGUUAAAACAAUGCAGUCUAUAUAAAUGUAAAUAUUUGACAAAGGUAAUACCUCUAGCACAUAAGGUUAGUUUCGUCCCAACUUGGGAUUAAAAAGCUGAAAAGCACUCUGCUACGACAAAUAUCACAAUUCCGAGUUCCCUUGAAACGUAAAGUUGGAUUCUUCAGUUGAUAACUAUGAUGUUUCCAACUGAAUGCAAG
rnacentral:lncRNA from 1 species